GUAUAUAUAUACAUACGUAUAUAUAUAUAUGUACGUAUAUAUAUAUAUAUGUAUAUAUAUAUGUAUAUAUAUAUAUAUAUAUAUAUAUAUAUAUAUAUAUAUAUAUAUAUAUAUAUAUAUAUAUAUGUAUGUAUGUAUGUAUGUAUAUACGUAUGUAUGUAUAUAUAUACGUAUGUAUGUAUAUAUAGGUAUGUAUGUAUAUACGUAUGUAUGUAUAUACGUAUGUAUGUACGUAUAUAGGUAUGUAUGUAUGUAUGUAUAUAUAUAUAUAUAUAUGUAUGUAUGUAUGUAUACUCAGUUUGUAAGGCUUAAGUCUUUGCUUCUUAAAGAGACGAAGGUAUUGAAAUAAUUACGAAGUGCAAGCUUUUAUAGAAGCGUAUAUGAUGGAGCUUUUCUCUAUUUUUGGGUGGAACUUUACAAGAAGAAAUGAAGCUUAGCUUGUUGUCUGUCUUUAAAACUUAUUUAUGCUUUACCUAUGUAACGGGAGAGUCUUAUGUGCUCGUGUUUGUGACUUUUAGGCUGCGUACACCCUCACAAGGUGUAGACCCGGGUUUAAUAUAAUCUAUUAUUAAAAAAAAAUAUAUAUAUCUUGAUCCAAUAAUUAAUUUAAUCACUAGGUAGAUGCAUGAUAACGAUCAAUCAAUUAAGCUGCAGUCUCAAAGAAGAUCUCAGAAGUAAGAGACAGAGAAAUUAUAAAUAAUUUAUUGCAUCUUGAUUUUUUUGGGGUUGUAAGCUGUGUCGCGCGUCGAGCCGUGGUACACGAAGCCAGCUGACGUGAGGGAGACGAAGGCGCGCACGUUAAUUAGCGCGAGAGCAGAGUGGCAAUUAAGUAGCUAGGGUUCCGAGUUUAAUAUCACAGAGAAAGAGGUAAGAGCAAGUUUAAUGGUAUAGUCUACUACUAGCUCCACUUCAUUUAUAGCUAAUCUAAUAGCUAAUUUAUAUAAUAGUUACUUACUAUACUAUUAAUAUAUGGUCUCACAUGUCAUACUUACAUUGCGUCUUGUAGCCCGUGCUGCAGCUAACUACAUAUCUGUAGUCCGCUGCUAUUCUCUCUCAUCUUUUAUCUUAUUUAAAUAUGUUUACAGCUGGUUAAUAGUUUGCUAUUGUAUCUGCUCUAAGAGCGAUCUUAGUUAAUUAUUAAUCCACAUGCUUAAUUAAGCAUGUCCUUUGCGCCAAAGUCGGCUUCUAAACUGGUCUUCGGAUCGAUUUGUUACGCGCAGGAACUUUUGGUCAUUUAGAAAUUAGGAUGUGCAGUGGCAGGGAUUAAUAGCCGGCCAAGCAUUAAUAUUAGUAGGAUGUACUUCCUCCGUCCUAAAUUAUAAGGACUACAUUUUUUAUACACAGUCUUUAAUGGUAUAUUUUGACCAUUAAUUUACUUCAUACUAUGUUUUUAACAAAUAUAAAAUUAGCUUUACAUAAAAAUAAUUUAAAAGAGUAAAUUGCACCCACGAUACAACAACUUGGCAGGUGGGUGCGAUAUAAUUCAAGAACUUGAGAAUUGAACAUCCGAGUGUAACAACUUGACAAGUGGGUGCGUUCUAGUAUAAGUGCUUGACAAUUUAGUAUUUUGGUGAAUCAAUUUGGCUAAGUAUAUGCUAGGUGAGUUUUUUCACAUUGUCAAUAUGCUAAUACACAGUAAUCCUACGGAUAUUACCUUAUAAUAUUGAAUUUAAACUUUAAGAAUUAUAUUUCACAUACAAUUUACAUCCAAUUACCUUUAAGAUUUUUUUUUGUUUUUUUCACCUUCUCAAAUAUCAACGGAAAUAUAAUAAUUUCUACAUGCGGUUUAAUUGACUUUCAGUUAUUGGUUAUUAGGAUAAAAAUAUAAAUAUGUUUAUACAGAUCCACGCUAGUAUAUUGUCAAAAUAAGUACUUAAAAAUUUGAACUUAUAUAAAAAAAUGCUCCAAAUAAUUAAGUUGUCACAUAACUGCUUAUUUGUUGUAUUAAAAUUAUACCUACCUUACAAGUUGUUACAUUUAUACGAUCGAUUAUAAAGUUCUUAUACUAAAUUACACCUUUCUGCCAAGUUGUUGUACUAGAAUGCUUAUUUUUCAAGUUAUUGCACCAAUUUGCACUCACCUGUCAAGUUGUUGCACCUUGGGUGCAAUUUACUCAAUUUAAAAUAUAAAUCUAGUGAUAUAACCUAUAAUUUAAAAUAUAAAUCUAGUGAUAUAACCUAUGAUAUAACCUAUAUAGCAUAUGGAGUAUAUGGUUAAUAUAAUUAUUAGUAAAAAAUAGCAACUUUAAUUUUUAUUAAAAAGAGAGCGUUCUAUAAUUUAAGGACGGAGGGUGUAAUUAAUCUGCAUCGUAUCCUUCAAUUCUUCUUUUAUAUAUAUACACUCUAUAUGACAUCCACAACCGCAUGCAGUAUAUAUCCUCCUCUCAUACUACCCAAUUUCGAGAAUAGAUCAGCAGUAAUUUAGGUAGCAGUUCGUGUGAUAAACUGAUAAUAAUGACAGCUAGUAUGGACCAGUUGUUACUUGUUUUAUGGUACUGAUUAACUAGUACUCAUGGUUAAAUCAUGACGCAUAGUAUAUGCGUAGUAGUAUUUUUUUUCUCCGUCUGAACGCGGUCAAUAUUAAUGUAUAACAUAUGUAUUGAAGUACGCAUACUGAUGCAGUAUAAGAAACAAAAUAUUGAUUAAAGCAAGUGUUUGUAUAACACACGGAAUUAGCUAGUAAUUAGUAGCAAUCGCGCUUAUGCAAAUCAAACAGGGUCGUACAAAUAAAAAGGACAUGUACAUCUCUUUUUAUUUUUUAGAACAUCUCUUAAUUUGGAGCUCAUAUAAGACGUGCGACAUAUUAUAUAUUAUUAUAGUGUGUUUAAUGUAGUGAUGGCGUCAGUGACGAAGUCAAAAAUUACUAUAGACUAUGGCUAUAAGAUGAAACUCAACCGAUAAAGUGUUGGAUUUUUUAUAUGGUGAUUAACAAAAAUUAAACAUAAUUUUGGAGGCAGUCCUAGUUAGGGCUAAUGCCCUAGCUUAUGCCUCCACCCCUGUGUGGCGUCGUGCAGCUUAUAAUUUCUUUUUCAUUGUAAAUCCGUGUUUAUUUAAUGUGAAAACGACGACGUCAGAUAGCUAAGGGAAUAUUAGCUAGGUACUAGUCGUACAUCGACACGAACCAACUGUGAAAUUAAAAUACAUGUAUAGUAGGUAAGAUGUUGACAUGCAUAUGUGCAUGAUAUAUACUCUCUUCAGUUAUAAAUAUUUAACGUCUAAGGUAAACACAUGUAUAGUGCCUAGGAUGUGUCGACAGAAAUGCACACAUGCUUACUCCUCCGGUUAUAAAUAUUUAAUGCUUAAGAUAAAUACAUGUAUAGUAGGAGUUAGGGCGUUAACAUGCAGGUACUCCAAUGGUCAUAAUUACUUAAUAAUUUAUUAAUAUUUUAAUUAAAAUUUUGAAACAUUGAUAAUUAAUUUUAUAUUAGCAUAAGUUUAUAAAACCCAAUAAACAUAUGCUAUAUAUUAUGGUACUUUUGACAGACCUAUGCAUAAGAUCUCUAUAAACCCUCAAUAGGAUUUUAGGGAUGCUUGGAAUUAACCUCUAUUCUCCUCUUUAAGUUUGUUUGUAUUUUUUGUGUAACAAAAACAAAAUCCGACAUUUUUACGUAAUACUCCAUUCCUUUCAUAUUACAAGUCGUUUGACUUUUUUCCUAUUCAUUUUUUUAGUUUGACCAUAUUUAUAGAAAAAAUAGUAAAAUCUAUAACACUAAAUUAGUUUUAAAUUAAUAUUUGAAUAUAUUUUGAUAAUAUGUUUGUUGUAUAUUGAAAAUACUACUAUAUUUUUAUAUAAAUCUAGUUAAACUUAAAAGAGUUAACUAGGAAAAAGAUUUCAAAUGUCCUGUAAUAUAAAACGGAACAAGUAAUUUAAAUCGUACAAGAAUCAAAAGGUCCGAGCGGGCCGGCACCGCUUCAAUAUUCCGUCUUUGCACCCUUUGGUCAUGCAUGCAGCUAGAUAGCAGGGCAGUACCUCCCCACUCCCCCAGUAGCGUCGCCAGAGAUGGCAUCAGAAGACCAGUCAGUCCCUGACUCCCCUGCCCCAGAGAUUUUACCAUGCAUGCAGCCCCGUUAAAUUCGUUCCCCUUUUUACCGCCAUGCAUGCGCGCACGCCUCUGCCUUUCUGCCCUCUGCCGCUGCACCUCAGCUAAGCUAAAGCUAAAUUCCUCACGCGGCCUGUUUGGUAAGAGAAGGGAAGAGAAAUGGGAGUUUUAAGGAGGGAGUUAAUGGUGGAAUUGGUCAUGGGAGUUAUAUUUUUAGUCCUCAUUCCUUGUUUGGUUUCACGUCGAAUUCCCUCCAAGUCUCAUGAAUUAACAGGUCUCUCCCAGGUAAGAUAUUGGUGAGAAUUCGACCUUUUAAUUCCUCAUCCCAAACCCCCUCGAAUUCACUCCUAGAUAUCAUAAACUCCCAUUCCCCAUCACCAACUCCCUUCAACCAAACAGUCCAUGUAUGUUCGCUACUUCGCUUGCGUCUCGACAACACUUUGCAUCUCGCGAAACAAAGUCAGCGACCACCACAUCCACACCCCCCAUCAUAUAUCUCUCUCGCCAUGAUACAUCCUCUCAUCUCUUCUCUCCCUCCUCUCCAUCUUUCUUUUCUCCUUUUCUUUCUUUCUUUUCGCACUUACAAAACAGCACUGUCACUUCUCUCUCUCUCUCUCUCUCGUCUCGCAACAAUUUUGUCCGCUUCCAUUGGGAGCGCGGCUACUGGCUGGGUUUACCCAACACUAUACCACCACCAGUAUCAUUGUACUACUACCCUCGCGAGCGUCAGAGAGAGAGAGAGAGAGAGGAGGUGGUGGUGGUGGUCAGAUCAUCAUGUGUGAUUACUUCUUGCAACGGAUGGAGGGGGAGCAGGCCGCCGGAGACCUCGCCGACAUCGUCCUCCGCGCCGGCGGGGCUGCUGCUGCUGCUGUUGCGGGCGGCGGCAUCCCGUCGACGGAGUGGCAGCUACCACCGGCGGAGGAGGAGGAGGAAGAGCCGGGUCUCUUCCCGCUGCCGCCGUCGUCGUCGGAUGGCUCCGGCAUGAGCGGCGCGGAUGCGUUCGGCGACCCGUUCGCUGGCCUCCCCGACCCCUUCGGUGGCGACUACCCCUCCUCUGGCGGAGCGGCGGCGGCCGCCGACUUCUUUGACGCCGUCGUGGCCAAGGCCGGGUUCGUCGACGUCGGUGUCCUCGGUGGCGGCGGCGGCGGUGGCUGCGAUGGAGGUGGCGUUGAUGGUGGUGGAGGAGGGUCGUCGCUGCUGGGCAUGAGCAAGCCUAUCUUGCCUAGGGCCGCCAUGCAGUUGCCGUCGGUGUCGCCGAGGGCGAUACGGCCGUACCCCGUGAUGGCCGGUGACACGGUGAAGCUCGGCGCGCCGAUGGCCGGCGGGCCGUGCGCGUUCGACGGCGCCGCCGCGGCAGGGCUGCACAUGUCGUCGUCGCCGCGUGGCGCCGUCGGCGGGAUCAAGCGCAGGUUCGCCGCACCGAUAUAUGAUCGCUCGCUAGCUAUAGCUCGCUGUUUCGCUCAGAUCUACGCAAACUAAUAAUUCUUGACGAGCGCCAUGAAACCGAGUCCUUUGAUUUCUUGCUGUGCUGGAGGAACAGUUAAAAAGAUUCCCAAUUUAGGGAAAGUUUGCGCUUCCUUUUCUUGCUGCCCAGCCUGCAUGCCCUACAAUUUCCCCAUCUUGCACCUCCCAACAAGGCAGUAAGGAUCAAGAUAAAGGAAAGAAAUUGUGAGCCAGUUUUUGAUCUGUUCAGACAAAAACAGCAAAAAUCAAGGUUUCAUACAUUCAGGAAUCAUCUAGCUGAUGAAAUGAAUGUUGCGACUUCGUCAAAGCCAGCAAAAGUGGUAUAUACACAGAUAGGAACAUAUAUAUUAUAGCAUCGCAUAGAAGGCUAAUUUAGUAGCUCUUCAAAUCAAUUUGUUCUUCAAACCCUAAGUUUCAGUUUCCACAUCAUGUUCAGAGAAGGCUAUAUAUCCGUACAUCUGUUGAAAACGAGUAAUUAAGCUAGAAAGUGUUGAUCUGAUGAUUGAGUAGUCGAGUACUUUACUGUGCAUGCAUAUGGGUUGCUUGAUGUGGUGGAUUUUGCAUCUGUUGAUGCAGGAAGAACCAGGCUAGGAAGGUGGUGUGCAUCCCAGCGCCUGCAGCAGCAGGAGGGAGGACCAGUGGGGAGGUUGUUCCUUCCGAUCUCUGGGCUUGGAGGAAGUAUGGCCAGAAGCCUAUCAAAGGCUCUCCUUACCCAAGGUAUGAUGUGACUGCAUCUGAACUAUUCUCUCACACUAAUCUCUGCCUUUCACUUGCAUAAUAUACAAUGGCUACCAUCUCUCUUCUUCUGCUACUCUAAUCCUUGUAUACAUCUGGAUAUCUGUGUGCUGUCAUAAUUGUGGUGAUCAUCAUCUAAUCUCAUAACACAUGCUCAAACUCCAAUAGAUUCCUCACCCCAACCAGGAGAGGGGAAGACACAUGGAUUCCUGUCUUUUCUAUUGUUAGUGUACUAUAGUUGUUGAUAGAAGCACAUGAUACAAUAUAAACUGCAAUGGGCACAAGUGGAGGAAGUAAUAGAACUAAUUUCAGUUUUCCCCUUUUUUUCUGAGCUUGGUAGUACAUUAAUUACUUUGUCCUUUCAACUGGACUGUGGAAUUUUCAUAUAUAGUUGCGUAUAUCCUUGAUAUGUAGAUGCUGGAUGGUGUAAAAAAAAAUUGGUUAUCUCAAGAAACUAAGGAAUUUUCUCCUACUUACAAAAAAUAUGUAGAGUACAUACGUCUAAUCAUGAUCCCUCUCACAUACUUUCAAUCUCCUAACAGAAAUGUAUACUCAAUUCAACUUUAAUUUGAUGCAUAAAGAGAUAUGAUGAGCUACCUUUUUUAAAAGGGACUAUGAUGAGCUAUUAUAAUAAACCAAAAGAAAUUUAGUAUAUAAUAUGGAGUUGCCUUGCUAUCCACAAUGCCAGUUUAGAAGUUUUGUUUUUUUAGAAUUAUUAUGUGAUAAGUUUUCUACCAAAAACAAGUUCUCUUUCUCAUUAAUCAGGAAGAAGUUAAAGCGCACAUAUUGGAAUAUACUGUUUCCAACUUGCAAAUUAACUAGUUAUCUCCCCAUUGUUGAGUAAGAAAUCCAUGUAGUGAUAUAUGUGGAUUGUGUUUAAGUUAGACUUAAUUAAUAAAAACCUUUUUUUGCACCAAUCUUUUUUAUUAAGAAAUUAUAUUUAAUGUAUUUAUAUAUGUGCAUGUUUUCAUACUCUUUGUAUUAGUCUAUGUAGUUUGUUCUUUCGCAAACAGAUAUAUGUGAUCAAAGUUAGGUUCUUUUUUACUUCCAUAUAAAAUUAUAAAAGUUAAUGUCAGGUGCUACUUACCUAGUUUUGGUUAUUGUAUAUUAUAUUUGUACGAGAUCAAUUACUUUGAUUGAUUCCCUGUGGUCAAAACUUGAUCUUUAUUGAGUGUGAUUUAAUUUUGUUUGUUAUUUUAAUUUUAGUAUUAAAGUUAUAGUAACAUUAUUUUUAAAACGUCAAAUAAGCAUCAUUAUUGUGACAAUAUUGAAUUUAAUAUAGUAACUAUACUUUAUUUUUGUAUUGGUUUCAAAAUAUGAUUUCCAUAUAUAUGAGCAACCUAAAUACUUAACAUGGUUUUAUAUGGUUUGCUGAAGAUAAUGAAUAAAAAAUCACAUGCACACCAGAUUUAUAUUACUCCUAUUUUUUGUUUCACACAAAGAAGCAUGCAACUGUCCUAAUUUACAUUAAAUGAAAAAUCAUGAUGAUUACAUAUGUUAACAUGUUUUCACUGGAAACUAGUAAAUGUGUGAUGAUCAGUCCUAGAGGUGAAUGAAACACAAUAUGCAGAUGUAGUAUAUGCAUAUCAUGACUUUAUUUAUUUCGAUUGAUUGCCCGCCAAGAUAUAUAUAUAAAAUUUAAGGUUUAUUAUUAUUAUAUACUUACUUUGUUCUAAAAUAUAAGCAACUCUGGUUAUGCACAUGAAAAUACGUUCAGUUGCAUAGGCAGAAAUGCUUAUAUUUUGGAAGGUUAUAUAGAGGAGUACCUGUUUUAACAUGAAUAGAUGCAGUUUCCUCCUAAAUAUAUGUAGCUACACGUUGGCGUACCACAUCCUGAAAUUUGAUUGUGUGCAAAUGUUCAUUUCUUCAGAGGGUACUACAGAUGCAGCAGCUCGAAAGGAUGCUCGGCGCGCAAGCAGGUGGAGCGCAGCCGGACCGACCCCAACAUGCUCGUCAUCACCUACACGUCGGAGCACAACCACCCGUGGCCGACGCAGCGCAACGCGCUCGCCGGCUCCACGCGGUCUCAUCACGCCAAGAACAGCAGCAGCAACAGCAGCAGCAGCGGCGCCUCCUCAGCCUCCAAGAACAACUCCUCCCACAGCGGUUACCACCACCACCACCACCAGAAGCCACUCGUCAAGGCGGAACCCAACGAUCAAUCCGCCGCCGCCACGACCGCCGCCACGGUGCCGGUGAAAGAGGAGGCCGCCAUGGUAGGGACGUCGUCGGAAGCAUUGGCGAAGACGACGCAGAAAUCCAUGGAGGAUGCUGCUGCUGCUGCUUCAGCCACGGCGGCGGCGGUGGAGCACAGUGAUCUCAUGCAGCAGAUGUUCAGCCAGAGCUACCGGCCGAUGAUACCGGAGGCAGCGGCCGGCGGCCACCACGACGACUUCUUCGCCGACCUCGCCGAGUUGGAGUCAGAUCCCAUGAGCCUGAUCUUCUCCAAGGAGUACAUGGCGACCAAUUACAAGCCAGCAGGUGACCCAGCAGGCAAGGAGAUGAAUGCAGUAGACAAGGGCUUGGAUCCAGCGUACAUGCUGGAUUGGUCUUCUACCACUGUUGUUACUAGAGCUGGUGGGAGCUCAUUUAUGCAAGGGGAGGGAGGUUUAUGACAUUUUAAUCACUUUGAAACAAAAGGCAAAAGCUAGUAUAUGCGAAUGCAAACAUCAUGAUAUGUGUCUUAAUUAGAGUCUAGAUAGUAACCAACUUAAAGAUGACAAGAGCUAGCAACAAAAUUAAGCAAAAAUGUGAGAGAGGGCCUUUUCUCCUCUUAUACCCUGGUAUGUGUUGAGUUUGCUCUCCCUUUUCCAUUUCUUCUUUCUACAUGUGUUAGAGGUUUCCAUUUUGUUCCACACAAUUUAUGCAUGCCUCCUUUGGAAGUAGGAAUUUUAUAGGUUUUUUUGUAAAAAAAAUAAACUAGAUCAUGUAAAAAUACUGUAAAAUUUCUACAUUCCAAAAGGAUGCCACUAGAUGUAAGUGUCACUUGCUUUUCUUUGCCAACAAUGUCUUAGGUAGGAAGGUUGGUGAUGAGUCCAUCAAUGGCGCUUUCUCUCUCUAUAUAUCUAUCUCUAUCUCCCAUGCAUUGUUUUUUUCUCUUUUGCAGUGUUCAUUGUUAUAGCAGAACACUAUAUUCUAUGCUGUUGGAGACCGAAACAAAUGCUCCUACUCGAUGAAAAGAGCAUUAUAAAGACAUGUACUUCAAGAUGUGACAGAAAGCUGGAGGCCGCAGUGAUGAAAGCUUAUGUUGCAACUGUUUUAGGGGAAGUGCACUAGAUGUGACCUGAGUAAACAUCUCUCUCUCCUCAGUGGGCAGAACAGUGCAGCACUGGCUGUUCUCUGAGAAUCUGAAGAGAAAAGUUUGAGAACAAAUGCUUCUCUCGCAUCGCUUGCAUGAGAAGGGGAUAUGUUGGAUCUGCCCGUGGUACAUAGUUUUGUCUCCUGUGAGGAAAAUACAUUUAAUCCACUGCCCCUCUGCUACUGGCCGGAGCACACAUCUGAUCGGCCUCAUGGCCCAUGCAUAUGCAUGCAUCAUACUCCUAGCUGCCUAGUACUACUACUCCCGAUACUGUACUGCUGCACAUGCUACGCAUUGAGUCUACAUAUGUACGUACAUGUAUGUACAAGUUGCACAACAACUAUAUGGUCCCUUCUGAUUCAAAUGAAAUUCAUAGAAAUUCUAAAGGAUUUUAUUUCUAUAGGAUUUUUUUCUAUAUAGCCCUUUGAAUCAAAAGAAUGAAUCCUAUAUAAUCUUAUGAAAUUUCUAUGGAAUGUCUAAUGCUAUGUAAGUUUUGGAGGAAAUCUAGCAUGAGGUUCUACCUCAUGGAAACUUUCCUAUGAUUCUUCAUCUCUCCUCUAAUUCCUAUGUUUUUUCUGCGGUCUAAUCAAACGACCAUUCCUAUGUUUUCUUGUGUUUUGCAAUCCUCUGUUUUGCACUUGCAUUCUUAUUAGAAUCCUAUAUUUUUUCUAUUCCUCCGUUUUUUUAUUCCUACGAUUCAAAGGGGCCCUACAUGUAUAUAUACAUGUGAUCACUGACAGACGUACAGGCAACCAUGCAUACGUACCACAUACUCCCUCCGUCCAAAAAAAAAAGACAAACACUGGGUUUCCGUGUCCAAGUUUUAUCAUCCGUCUUAUUUGAAAAAAUUAUGAAAAAAAUUAAAAAGACAAGUCACGCAUAAAGUAUUAAGCAUGUUUUAUCAUCUAACAACAAUGAAAAUACUAAUUAUAAAAAAAUUUCAUAUAAGACGAACAGUCAAAUGUUGGACACGGAAACCCAGGGUUUGUCUUUUUUUCGGGACGGAGGGAGUACGUACGUACAUUCAUGCAUGCUAUGCUACGUGUGUACAGUACAUGUCUAUUAGUACUACUACUGGUAGUAGUAGGCUGUUAACUCCGUUGAUCGAUCUGGCCGGUCACACAUCGUCACAUGCACUAGUAGUAGCUAGUAUCGCUUAUGUGUACCUACGUUUGACGUGUCGUCCAACUAUACAUGUUUUGGCUUCAGUCCAAACUUCAACCUGUACGAAUUAGGAGGAGUGGAGUACUCCCAUGAUCAAUGCAAUGCAUGGCUUUUAGGCAUAGAACUUGUUCUGCCAGGCCGACACGAGUUAAUACCUUUUCCCAUCCGGCCAUAGUGCGUGCGCGAGUACGUGGGGCCACCCGUUUUGAAUACAUACCCCGCCAAAGGAGCUAACCUUGACCGUAAACGUACAGCAGUAGAACCGUGUGUGGGGAGAUGUGAUAUUGCAAAUUUGCAGUUAUAUGUAGCAGCCUAAGCAUGCGAUAAACGGCAGCAUACACAGGUAGGGAUGGAAAAAAAAGACCAAGCUCGAUCGAAGUAACCGGGACCGAGAAAUUCGGUCCUAGUGUUUAACCGACCGAGCUUUUAUUCAUUCAGUAGGCUCGGUUAAUCGAAAUAUCCGAGAAAUACCCAAAUUCUACGUGAGACCCAAUAACAGCCACUAGCCCAAAGAAGAGUACACACGAGCCAUCCUGUCACAUCGUCCCCUGUGUAGCCUCAUCAUCCUACCGCGCGUUGUUGUUUGUUGGUGCCUAGUGACGACACCUACUCUAUUGGAGAUCUAGUGCCCAGUGGUGGUCAUGCUGGCAAUGAGCGGAGGAGGGCGACUAGAGAGACAUUUGUCGAUUUUUCACGUCGGCCGAUGCUGGCCAAGGUACCAACCUUUGGCCUCGACGGCUCUUCAGGAGCUGAAAAUUGUGGAAGUUAUGAUGGUUUCUGUUAUUUUUUUCACUGUAUAAUUUCGAUUAUGAUCGAGACCGAGCUUGCUCAGUCUUCAAAUUUGUUUAGGACUGAUUGGUCUUGAGUUGUUGAUGCCUGAAAUUUCAAUCAAGACUGAAGGCCGAUACACACUGCACACAACAGGUGUGUCCCUUUAACACAUGCUAAAAAGGAGUCCAUGAUAAACAACCAAGAGCUUACUAUUACUCAUUUCUUUUUUAUUUGGACUAGGAGAGCCAAGCUCCCCCCCCCCCCUCCCCACACAAAAAAAAAAACCUUUUCCAUUAAUAGAAAUUAGCAUUUCCAAUUUUUUUACUACAUUUCUAUUUGAAAGCGUGUAAGGGUGUGUUUAAUUGUGCAAACCUGAUUGUAAAAAAGUGGAUGGAGUCAUGGUUGGAUCUACUUUCCCAUACAACUCCAUCACCACACUAAAGAUGCUUUCCUAGCUUGCACCAUGCAAGUAUAUAUACAUUGGCUUUGCUAAAAUUCAUGCCAUCAAGCAGGCUUUGUUCUUUUCAGCUUACAUGGGCUUAUGGAUUAUGCACACCACGGUUUCUCAAACCACGAUUUCUUCACAAAACUUUAUACAUCAGUAUUUGCUUAAUUAGAUAAUAUAUCUGAUCAUCCAUAAAGAAUAGGGUACUGGCGGAAUGAGAAUUUUUUUUUGCUAGUAAUAAUAUCUGUGAGAGUGAAAACUAAAAAGAAUUCGUGAACGAAGGGAGGUAUAUAUAAUGUAUAAAUAUUUGGUGGACUUUGAUUAUUAUAAAUCAAGCCAAAUUUAAAGGAGCGUCUUAAAUAAGUAAAAUUAGGCACGCAUAAUGUUGCUCCUUUUUUUUUCAAAACGCUCAUCAAAUACUCCCUCCAUUCCAAAUUGAUCUACAUAUAGUUUUUUUGAGGUUAUUCCUAAAUGAUCUACAUAUUUGUGUUCAUUCAUUAAGUCUAUUCGUUAUUUGUGCAUUGGAGUAAAUGGACAUUGAUGCAUGCAUCCAUGCACACAAGUAUUUAUAACCCAUAUGCAGUAUCUUGAUUUUCUAUUGGCUAGGAAAUAAUGGGGAUGGUGCAUGCAUUGAGUUUGUUGCUAGAGUAAAUAUAGUAUGUGGGAGUUAUUAUAUUUUCUUAGCCUUGGUGUAUCUAUGAAAUAUGUAGAUCAAUUUAGAAUGGAGGGAGUAUAAAGGAGAAAAGAAAAAAAAACGACCGUGCACACGCGGGUGCAUAUAUGAUCUUGUCUCCCCAGUUACUAUCAGGCCCGGCCGGCCGACCAGGCAGGGCCAGAAAAUCGUGGCCGUUCCCUCCCUCAUCACAGUAGCUCUGAUACGUCCCUUUCGCUUUACACGCCCAGCAGUCUAGUCAAAGAAAAGCCAGUGGACACUAAAGACCACUCAUGCUUUUUGCAAUUUUUUUCCCUAGCUUUGGCUGGCCUGGUGCUUGCAUUGCAGCUAGCUAGCAAUCCCCCUCAAAUUUACUUGGGACAUGGACGCUAUGUGUGGUGGAGUGUCAUAAUCGAGCUAAAGAUGAACAGCGUCUUCAAUUAAUCAAAGUUUAGGAACAUCAUGCUGUUUGUUUUUUUUAAAAAAAAUAAUAUAUACUAUAUAGUACAGUUUACCAGAAAUACAGGAUUGUUCAUAUGAGUCGUAUCGUUGUGACCCUAUAUCUUCAUUUAGAUUUUAACAUCGUAGGCCAUGUUUAAAAAAAAACUCAUCUAAUUUGCACAUUGUAGACUUUGAGACAUCAAAUUUAAUAUUUCCUCCAUCCCAAAAUAUAAAACUUCUAUCAUUUAGAUUUUUUUUCCCAAAAUUUAAUAACUUCUUCACCAACAUUUUUUUUCCAACCAAUCACAAUCAUUCAACAUUUAUUUUCCACCUACCUCUACUUCUUAACCAAUUACAACCUUCUCCAUUUAAUUUUAUUUACUUUAUUAAUAAUCGUGUUUAACUCUAAAACUUAUUAUAUUCUGAAACGAAGGUAGUACAACUUAUUUUUUUAUCGAUUUUAAAUUUUGGACUUAAUUAUCAAAACAUGAGAAGGCUACAAGCCUACAACUAAGACUCUAAGUCAAGUAAAUUAAACUUGAUAUUUCUUGAUUAGUCCUACUCCCUCCGUCCAAAUCAAGUAACUGGACAGUAUUUGUUUUUGCUCAUUCAUAUAUAGCAAAGAAUUGUUUUUUUUUCACCGGAGGGAGUACGUUUUAUAAAGGAGACCUGAGCUAUUCCUUUUUCUUCUUUUGUAGUUCAAUAUACUACACCAUCCAUUCUAUAAUAAUCCAAAUAUACCAACACUUUCACCUGCAUUAUGAUCUUCUCAACUAAAAAUCACAAUCUUUCAUCAGUCGGUUUCUCCAUGUAAUUUAUUUUCUCAACCAAUCAUAACAUAUUCUCCUAUUUAAUUCCAUCCUUAUUUUUUUUAGAAACGCAGAUGUUCAUAAUACACGUACACUCGUCGCUAUGAAAACACACGCUCAUCCUACCUCUACUAGCACCUUCGAAAGACUGGAUCGAUAUAUCUUGAGAUUGAUAAAGUCACCACGAGCGUCUCGUUGUCGACAGAUAUCCUGAUACUUUUUUAUAAUUUGUAACAGAAGUACGUACUCAUAAUCCUCCAGAAGAGAGGAAAACGGAGCCGGAAGUUUGCAUGGAAUUAAUUAACGGGAUUGAUACGACGUAUACCAGUGUCGUCCAUGUUGGAUCACCAAACCCUCGAAUCACGCGCAGGAGUUGACAGAGGUGGAUGGCGGUACGUUCAGGAGCUCCACCGUGGGCCGUGUGAUGAGCCGCCCGGUGGACGCUUGCAAGUUGCAAUCCGGCGGAUGCUGCAGGCAGUCCGGUAUAGUGCACUGGUGAGAGGCAGUGAUGACUGACAAAGCCUGGAUUUGUGCAACGAUUCAAGACAACUGAACAGAACUGCGAGUGUGGCAAAUCCAACCAUGGAACAGGCGCGCGCGAUUGGCUCCGGCCUCCGGGGCCUCGACUGGCCACAAACGUACGGACACGCAAAGAAAAACGUACUGUAUGCAAAUAAAAUACUACUAGUACUGCUCCACCUUUUCCAUUCUAAAUUACUAGUUCUGCUCCACUUUUUCCAUUCAAUAAUAUAGCAACAUAAUAUAAUAGCCAAUAAGAUGUAGUACAUUCUAAUACUACGAAUUCAAAUGACAAUAUUUUUUUUCUAGAUUUGUAGUUCAUCUAGAUUUAUAGAAUUAGAAUUUGUUCCAUCUGAUACUAAGUUGCUAUGUUUUGAGAUAGAGAUAUUAACUAUUAUAUCCGUCCUAAAAUACAAUACUUCCUCCAUCCCAUAAUAAAAUAACCUAGAAUCGAAUAUGAUGUAUCAUAGUACCACGAAAAUCUGGACGGACACGUCACAUCCAGUCCAAAGCUAUUAUAUUCUGAAACAAAGUGAGUGACUUUUAGCUACGAAGAUUUAUAGCCAAAAAAUAUUACUCUCUCCAUACUAAUAAAGGAAGUCGUUUAGAACAGCGACACGGUCUCCAAAACACAACUUUGACUUAUUAUUUCUAUAAAAAUAUUUAUUAAAAAGUGAUAUAUGUAUACUUUUAUGAAAGUAUUUUUCAAGACAAAUCUAUUCAUAUAAUUUUUACAUUUUCAAACUCAACAACUUGAGAGAUAUUCAUGAUUUAUAUUCCCAAUGUUUGACUUAAACAUUGUCCUAAACGACUCCUUUUUACUAGUACGGAGGGAGUAUAUUUUAAAACAGAUGUAGUACUCCCUCCAUCCACAAAAGUUACGCCUAUUUUACAUUUAAGUUUUUCUAAAUAAGUUGUUCCUAUUUGUAGUAUUUAUGCAUUCAAGAAUUAAAUGAAGAGAUAAAUUAAAUGUUUUAUUAGAACCCAAGGAGUCAUCUAAAUACUCAUUGGUUGCAUGCUUGCAUUUACUCCUUGAUUUUGUAACAUCCAAAGUGAUUUAAUUUCUCUUUGAUUUUGGUGUCCAAAGUAAUAUGUGUAACUUUUGUGGAUGGAGUGAGUAAUUUAUUACUCCAUCCGUCCUAUUUUAAGUCCUAUUUUAAGUGUAUUUGUGGAUUUUCGUACCAAACGUUUUAUCAUCUGUCUUAUUUGAUUUUUUUUAUUAGUAUUUUUGUUGUUAUUAGAUGAUAAAAUAUAAAUAAUACUUUAUGCGUGACUUUUUUUAACUUUUUAUAUUUUUUAAAUAAAAUAUAACGUUGGAUAUAGAAACCCACAACUAAAAUGCUAUAGAGGGAGUAGUAUUGGACAGUGUCAGAGAGUCCCACGUACUUGGAGUAGUCAUUGUUUGAUGUGUGGCCUUCUGUUUCUUUCAUUGAAUUGGCAACAUUUGGUUCCUUUUAUCUAACCAAGUGAUGUGAUUGUUCGAUCUAGUAGUACGCACAACCAAGUGCCAAGGGCGCAUCGAUGCAAUAUUGCAAUUACUGCACAUGUGACAUGUCUCACAUAUUAAUUACUCUUCCGUCAAUAAAUUAAUAUAAUAUAAGUAUUUUAUAUAUUUAAAUUUUGUAAUUUACAAAUAUAAAGUUCCUACUGAAGUUUUAAGGUAAAGAGAGAUACGAUGAAAAGUUGAAUUGGGUAUAUACUCAAUUUCAACAAUGGUGCCCGGGCACCAUGAAGCACCAAACAAAUUUACUAUUACUAUAUAGGACACUCAUAUGGGGCACCAUGGUGCCCGGGCACCAUGGUAUCUAAUGCAUAAAAUCACUUAAAAUUUUCAAAAUUUUCAAAUUGUGAGUAUAUACCUAGUUAUAAUAAUUCGAUUCAUACCUAUACCUAUCAACAAAACAACUCAAAUUUAACUUUAUUUCACAAUUCAUGAUUACAUACCUAACUAAUUAUAUGUAUGGAUGCUAUAUACCUAGAAUCAAAAUCUAACAAAAACAAGUUCAAAUUCAGUUCAAACUUGCUUUGAACUAGUUAGUAAAGUGGUUAAUGUUAAUACCUAAGUAAUUGAAAAAGAUUCAUACUCAUUUGAAUUAGGUAUAUACUCAAUUUCAGCAAUGGUGCCCGGGCACACCAAACAAAUUUAAUAUAUAUAUAUAUAUAUAUAUAUAUAUAUAUAUAUAUAUAUAUAUAUAUAUAUAUAUAUAUAUAUAUAUAUCCAUUCCCGCGAACACAUUACCACUUGUAUUUCUGCCAUCGUCGCUUCCCAUGAUGAUCUGGACAGGUGAUUCUUUAGAGCAUCCCAGCAGCUCCUCUAUUCGGUCCUCUAUCCCCUUUUUGACGCAUGGAGGUGAAAAACAAUGCUCCAGCAGACCUUCCAUCACACACGCCAUUUUUGGAGGACCUCCAAACCGAGCCAUUCCCAAGCCAAAUAUGGAGGUUCUCUCUCCUCACACCAUACUCAACUGCCGACCUCGCGACUGCAUACCGUGGGAGAGAGGAGGUGCAUACCGGAUUUGGAGGUGGAGAUCGCCGGAGUAGAGGCAGAGAGGCAACGAUCUGGCAGUGAGGUCGCCGCCAUCCCCACCGCUUGAGGUCUCCGCCCGCGCCGCCGCUCCUCUGACCCCGCCGCCCCUCUGUCCCGCCGCUCCUCCGCCGUCCCUCCGCCGCUCGCGCCGCCCCUUCGCAGAGACUGGGUGGUGGUGGCGGCGGGCCAUCAGCGGGAGGAGGAGGGAGAUGGACUCGCCGGGAGGAGGAGGGAGAUGGACCCACCGGCCGCCUCCCGCCGUCCGUCCCUUGCGCCGCCCGCACCGCUCCUCUGACCGCGCUGCCCCUCCGCCCAGCCGUUCCUCCGACUGCGCUGCCCCUCCAGUCGGCCCUCGUCAUCCCCGUCCUCUCGGUGCUGGCGGUAAAGAAAAGAGAAAGGCGGGGAGAUCGGCGGUAUAGAAGAGAGAAAGGUGGGGAGUGAAGAGAUAAAGGUGGGGAGUUUUUUUAGAGUGGUGAUAAAUAUGUGGUAGUUGUAAAAUAUAUGAUGUUGGUAUAUGGAGGAUGUAAUAUGGAUGAUCUGUUGGAGUGAAAAGUAAUAUGGAGUAGGAAUUUUUUUGGAUGACUAUCUAAAUGGGAGUAUGGAGGAUGAAAUUUAGAUGAGCUGCUGGGGAUGCUCUUAUAGUACUCUUGCUGCAAACCCAGCAUUAUCAAUCUCUAGGAUUACUGGCAUAUAUAUGCAUCACUAGAUCGUUGCUUCAAUAUUCCCUCUAGACACACAAGAGCUUACUAUUAUGUCCCCAAAAAGUAAACUCUAGCUAUGCAUGUGUCCAGAUUCAUAGCUAGAAUUGAACUUUUUUUUAAUGGACGGGGUAUGUCUAAACUAUAAUUCUUCUCUAAAUAUUCCAUUGACAUUGAUUUUUGCAUAUGCCCCUCAAUUAGUGCUAGCCAUUUCUUUUUACUCCAGCAACACCCACUCAAGCUUUUCCCACCUUGCCCCCAAUCACUUUUGUAUUCUUAACCACCCAUCAUUUAAGGGGUUGUAGUUAACUAUAACUCGCUAGUCAAUUGCUACUCACCCUUAGAUAUUAAGCGAUGGUUUCUAAUAUCUUCUCCAACUGAACAAACUACCUUUUUUUAUAUUUACUCUCUCUCCAAGCUAUAGGUGUACUCUUGAGCUCUUCCCCUACACACCAUCUUCCCCACAUCCCCUCUCGUAUCCUACCCCUCACGUCGUCAGAUCUAUUGCCUCAUCUCCCUCUCAUGCCUUAACACAACUCUAUUUUUUGUUUCCCCUAUUGCCGCCAUUACCGCUCACCACGCUCUUCCGUCCCCACGACUUUUGUGACACCGUUGCCUCCCAUGCCUCAUUCUCUCUGUAAACCCUGAAACCCUAACCUGAUGGACUACAGUAACCAUACCGUUGCUAUCGCUGCCGGAGAGGAAGAUGAGCGUAGUUGGGACGCUAGCUGCUUGUCGCAUUUUGUCGGUGAGUUUACCAACGUGCUCCAGGGAUUGAAGAAGAAAGGUGAAUAAUUGAAUCUUGAUCCAACUAUUCAGAUAGGUGAUUGAUUUUUUUUUGGAAAAAAAUCAGGUGGUUGGUAAAUAUCUAAUAAGUCGUUCAAUUAAUGAGGGACAUUAUGCGAAGUGAGUGUAGCUUAACUGGUUAGGUUCCUUGUGGUGGAACCUUCCCAGGCUUGACACGGAUGCUCGCAUUUACGGUUAAUUAUUUUUUUAGUGGUAGAUGACGUACCUAUCAUUAAUAUCAAGAUAUACCGUUUUAGUCUUUUAGAAGUAUUCAUAAGGGUAAGGUGUGUGCGCGUUCAUAGGGAUAAAUGUAUGUAUUGUGAGCACUAUGUUUGUAUCAUGUUUCUAAAAAAAAUAAUGAGCAACAUUAUAGUAUUUUCUUUCUUCAUUCUUAAUCUUGUAGAAACGGGAGAAUGCUGAUAUCAGGGAAAUGAGGGAGUAGUAUCACAUUGUUUUCUUUUCUAGGAAAGGAUGGCAAGGACACUGUAUAUAUUCGAUUGCGACGUUGCAAGAGAUAGUUAGCAGAGAGCGGUACGUUUACAAGCAGACAAGCAGCACGUGUUCGCUUUUAGGAAGUACUCCCCUACGUUGUCUCUUGGUGACGAGCGCGAUUGCGUCCAGCUGUCCUGCCUGCAUGUUUGCACGUAGUCCCGUCACUGAAACGGCGCGCUGUCCCCUCCCCCCCUCGUCUCGUCCGAAUCAGCGGGAUCCGCGCCCCUCCAACCCUUUGCCACACAGUUUUCUGCUACAGCCCACACCCGCCGGCCGGCGACGCGAAGCACCGCGCGCACGCGCGCGCGGCCCGCGACAGCCCGGCCGGCAUAGCUCACCAACAUCACACGCGGUUGGCAUGGCAUCUCAUCUCGUCGCGCGUCCCGUCCCGUCGCAUCGCAUCGCGCCGCGCCCGGCCGGCCGGCCGGUAUACGUACGAAGCGGAAGCCGUACGUUGUAGCUAGCCUCCGGCGGCUUUGGCGCCUCUUCCCCGGCCCCGCGAUUCGUCGCGGCCGGCCUCUGCCCGGGCCGACGCGACGUGCGAUCGAUCGGCUCGCCAUCAACCGCCCGAUUGGCCCAAAUAUCAGGCUUUGAUUGAUGAAUCGCGUGGGGGGCAAUGGCUAUACGUGUCGUCCGCCACGCCGUGCGUCCACCACCCAGAUGCAAUCAUGCACGCAAGUACGUACGUACUAUAUAUCGACCACUACACGUUGCGGCGAUCGAGGAUCCAGAUCAGGGGGGGAGAGCAACAGUGCGGACUAGCAGUAGCAUGCAUGCACACAAACACGGCUACACUGUAUUGCUGCUGCUGUCGUUGGGACGGCCCAUCAGUUUCACUUCAGCCAGCCAGUUGGUGACAGAAUUGAAUGGUCCCGAUCGAUCGAUCGAUCGAUUGAAUCGAUCCAUACAGACAUACUUCCUCCGUCCUUAAAAAAAAAAAAAGCAGGCUAUGGGUUUUCGUGUCCAACUUUGACUAUCUGUGUUAUAUGAAAUUUUUUUAUAAUUUAUAUUUUUCAUUGUUGUUAGAUGAUAAAAUAUGAUUAAUAUUUUAUGUGUGACUUGUCUUUUUAAUUUUUCUUAUAUUUUUUUCAAAUAAGACGGACGGUUAAAUAUUGGGCACGGAAACCAGAUUUGUCUUUUUUUUUUUUUUACGGAGGGAGUACAGAGUAUAUAGGGUAGAGCGUCGCCCUCGAUCUAAUCAUUGUGUACCGCGAAAUUGGCAAGCGAUGAUCUUCUGUAGAGGGGAGAGGGUGAACAGCGUCGCGAGGCACCAGAGAGGAAAGAUGGGCUUUGCUACUGUGUGGAAUUAAUGCUGUGAUGAAUUUGGCAUGUGCAACUCAAGUUCUCCAAGAAAAUAGUACUAGUAAAACAAACUGUUCCUUACAAAAGUGGGCCUAAGAGUGCGUACCAUUUAAAGCCCAGAGUUUUUAUGGCCUGGUAUAGGAUGCUACAGGGUCAUCCAGUUCGGCCCGAAUUGAACUAGAGCCCAUCUCGGUCGAUUUGGUUAUUACUCCCCCCAUCCAAAAAUGCAUAUUUCUUUGAUCAUCACCAUCAAAAAGAAAUUAACUCAUAUAUUAUAUAUUAUGUGACAGAACUAGGAAACUAUAUAUAUACAUAUACAACCAAUAAGUAUUAAGAUAGUUUUUUCGAUUCCGAUAAAUAAUUUAAUUUAGCACAUACUCCCUCUGUCCCUAAUAAAAUUAAACUCUAGUAUCCCAAGAAGCUACUCCCUCCGUCCCAUAAUAUAAGGGAUUUUGAGUUUUUGUUUGCACUGUUUGACCACUCGUCUUAUUAAAAAAAUUAGAAUUAUUUUUUUUACUUACUUUAUUAUCCAAAGUACUUUAAGCACAACUUUUCGUUUUAUUUGAAUAAAUUUUUUUAAUAAGACGAGUGGUCAAUGGGACGGAGGGAGUAUUAAGAAAAGAAACAAAAGACCAAAAUACUCUUAAUUAAUGUAAAAAUUGUAUUGAUUGAUGGGUAGGUGAGGGGUAUUGGAGUAAUAAAAUUUCUCGAUUUGCGGAUUGGUGGUAGGUAAGAAUGUAAGAGAUGGUUUAUUUUUGGACAAACUUCAAACUCUAGGAGAGACUACAAAUCUACAAUAUGUCUUAGACUUUUGAAAAAAAACAAGAAAUGAAAUACCUUAGACACUUUUGGAUAGAGAAAGUAAGAGAAUAGUUGUCCAAACAUAUAUGUUUGCAGUUACUCUUCGUCGUUCGUACUACCGAAUUGAUUUUUUUAAAAAAAUAAAUAAUAUAUCUGAAGUAAUUUGGUCAAAGCAAAGUACAGUAGUACUGUUUCUCUUAUGAUCAUUUCAAGUCAAAUAAAUAAUUAACGAGCUUAUUAAUACGUGAGGUUUUAGGUAGGUCUGAACAAAAUCGUGAACACAAGAAUAUGCCAAGGAAAGUUAUUAGUUGUACCAACUUACUCAAAUAGAUAUAGCUAAUUCUUCAGCGUCCUUAUGAUCUUCUGGCUACUUUCAAUUUCUUCAAGAAAUAAAGCAUGGAAGAUUUCUACAUAGAGAACAUGACACAUGUAAUAUAUAUGCUGAUGAAUGCAUUACCAGCAGAAUAGAAAAUGGAAUGAGAGAAGAAGGGGAGUGAAUCUGUCAGCGCUUGCAUCAUUUUGACUGAGCAGGAUAUUUAUCCGUCGUCUAUAUAUAUAUAUAUAUAUAUAUAUAUAUAUAUAUAUAUCUUCUCAACAACCACGUAAUUAAUCAGCGUGCUAUGUCAUCGAAUGGGAAGUUGGUAAGGGUCUCAAAUAUCAACAAAACCUCAACUUAUUUCUGAUAUAUUCAUUACAUAACUUUUUUAGCAGUACCACGUGUUAUUAUUUGCUUUCAUGUACGCGCGAUUAUAUUUUGCAUAAGAAAGGUACGUAUCGUAUCAGGUCAAUUAUAGGCUCGAGAACAUGAAGAAUUUUCAACUAGCUGGUUCCAAUUAGGUGAAUUUUUGUCAACUAUAUAACUAUAUAUAUUGAGUUAUUUAAUAGAUGACGCAUUGACUUUUAGGCACAUAUUUGACCAUUCGUCUCAUUAAAAAAUUUUAUACAAAUUCACAAGAUAUAUAAAUCAUGCUUAAGUGCAUAUUUGAACAAGACGAAUUAAUGAUUAAAUAUGUGUUCAAAAGUUAACACCGUUAUUUAUUACUCCCUCUGUCGCUAAUUAUUUGACACCAUUGAUCUUUUUUAAACAUGUUUGACCGUUCGUCUUAUUCAAAAAAUUUAAGUAAUUACUUUUUUUCCUAUUAUUUGAUUCAUUGUUAAAUAUACUACUACUACUCAAGUUUUUUUAAUAAUAUUCACAAAAGUUUUUAAUAAGACAAACGGUCAAAAAUGUUUAAAAAAAUCAACGGCGUCAAAUAUUUAGAGACGGAUGGAGUACAAGCAAAAGGAGUUUGUAUUUGCUUCAACUCCUUUCCUUAGUUCACUUCCUGGAAGAACUGUAAAUUGUUUUCACCAUUCAUGUAAUAACGCUGCAUGAAUCAAAAUUUACAUCUCUUUUAGGUGAAUUCAACAUCGACCAUUUUGAUUCCCCGCAAAAGGGAAAACCAUUGACCAUUUCAAGGUCUUGUUUGGAAUAUGCUACAUGAUCUUCACAUGUUCACAUAAUAAUCUUAGAAAAUGAAUUCAACUGAACAAUCUAUAUAUAGUCCUCGUAGGGGCAUGAUAAUGUUUUUUUUAUUUAUUGAACCUUUUUUAACCUUUUAUUUUACGAAUAUACUCUCUCAAAACUUAUUUUCAAAUCUAAACUUUUUUAGUAUGCUAACCAAACAGCCGUGACGAAAUAAUGCUACCAUGCUGAUGAUGUAGUAGACUAAUAGUGUUAUUUGGCUUUGCUGGUCUUACUACUGUGGCAUUGUGGCAACAUAAAACUAUCACAUCCGCUACGAGUAUUAUGAUAGUGUUAUCAUACUAGGUAGGAUAGUGUGAUCAAAAGGUUCAAAUUUUAGAAAUAAUUCUUGCCAUAAUUUAUUUUUGAAAUUUAAAACUUAAAAAGGUCCAAAACAUAUAAUAAAAAAAAUGUUGACGCGCAUUGACUGACAAAAGCCCAAACGAUUCAUCUGUUUCAGCCCAGUCCUCUGUCGGUUAGCUGGUCUCCGGCGACCGGCGUAGCUCCGACGGCGCGGCGCAGCCUCCACUUCACCUGACUACACUGCCCUCUCGGCCAUACCUCUCCGGCCAUCUCGAGCCGCCAUGUGAAAAACGCCGCCGCAUCUUCGCGCUGCGCCACUCGCGGCGGGUCGGGUUCGUUCGUCGUCUGAGUUUUUUUCUGGGCUGUGCCACCAUGCAGUGGGUUUCCGCCGUUGGUUACUUGGUUUAAUAUCUCUUUAGCACUAUAUAUGCAGCUUUAUCUAAGGAGAGUUAAUUCAGCUGCGUAGAGCCGCGGAUUCGUGCCAGGGUCUUUGGUUUGUUAUUGUUUACUGCAACUUCUGUAUUAUCUGCUAUUUUAUUAAACCUGUUUGAUCUUUUGCUUUUUGAUAUCAGAAGCAAUGGAUCAAAUCGAAUAUUAGUACAGGACACAUGUUCACAUGUCACAGUCUGCCAAAUUGAUAUCUGAACUCUGGAGCUACUGCUAAUCUACUCACAUGUCACAGUCUGCCAAGUUGAUAUCUGAACUUACUGCUAAUCUACUACCCCAACCAGGGAAGAAGAUUUGCUUUCGGCAAUUUGUGUCCUUGUGACAUAGACAUGCAAUUCAAGUACUCAGGAGUAUUCAAUUUCAUUGCUGUAACUCAGGAGCUUUUUUCCUUUAUGGAAAGGUGAAACUGUUUGUACCUUGAUUUCUGGUACAGUAAAGCGUAUAUUUCCUUUUUCAUAUUCUAUUAUACAGCUCGGAUUCGAAGUUCAGCAGAAUCAAUUAGUUUCUCUAGUUCCUUGCUUUGAUCCAAUAUUGUGGCGUGGCUUUGAUAGCUCAGGAGUAACAUGUAAAUACAUCUAUAAUCAUUUUCACUGGCAUGAUAAAUUUCAUGCCAUGUAUUUUGUUUAGAACCACUGCUUAAACUGAUAAGGAGGUAAUUUAUGAAACACUAUCAAAAUAGACAGGACUGCAUAUCUAGUAAUCUAGCAGCAAAUUGAACACUUUCAGAAACAUUCCUUGUUUGGUAUCUGAAUCAACUUUAGCUGCUUAUAUUACACCAUGUAGCAUUUAUUUUACUUGCCAUAUACUACUACCUUCAUUUCAAAAUAAGUUCAUUUUACACCCAUCUCACACAUACCAAUAUAAAACCAAAAAAGACUGGAUGCUCCGACCUCAUCAAAUCCUAGUGUAACUAUUUUUCACUUUAUCUACUCCUAAUAUAAUUAUUUCUACUUUUACUCCGAUGUAAUGAUUACUCUAAAAAUAAACUUAUUUAAUUUGGGACAAACUGAAUGAGCUAUAAAUGAUCUUAUUACGGGACAGAGAGGAAGUACAAGCUACAGAAUACGGACCAAAGAGGGUUUGAUGGCAAUGUUCGGACCUUUACGUUUCUUAAGUUUCGAUGCUAGUAUAAAUGCCCUGGUGGCAGUAUUCAUACGUAUAUAUGCUACUAAUAUAUGUUCCCUUGAUGGCAAUGUUCGUACCUUUAUGUUUCUUAAGUUUUGAAGCUAGCUAGUAUACUGUUUUGUUUCAUAUCUCCGUCGAAACUAUAAAAGAUAUUUGUGCAGUGCUCAACAGCAAGAAAUUCAUGCAUGCAGUAGGUGAUUGUACGUUGGCGUAAAUUGUGAAGUGGCUGAAAAGUGAAAACUACUACCAGGUUAAUGUCAUUUUCUCAUUUCCCCAUAAUUUUUCGCUUCUUGAUAUUCUCUGACUGCAUGCCUGAUUAUGUUUAGCACUUAUUCACCUACUUAUCCACCAACCUUUUCAAGGAUGAUAUCUUUGGUCAAAUUUCAAGAUUUGAUCUGAUCAGUUUUGGAAGGUUUUAGCUGUAGUUGGAUUGUGGUAAGAGAAACUUCAGGUAUUAGUUGUACCAACCUAUUGGCAGGAUUAAGUCUAGUUUAUCAAGAUAAAAAGAUAAAACACAUAUCUGUCGGCAAGUUCUGCAUUUUCUUCAAGCAAGCUUCAAAACUCAGAAGAUUUUUUCUUGAUGUAAGAUGUUGAUGACUGAGAACAGGGCAACUAAAGGGGGGAAAUUGUCAAAAACCUGAUAUGGUUUACGUCUGACUGCAUAGCUGUAGUCCUCUUAUCAAUUUUAUAUAGUUACAUUAUGGAGAUGGAAUCUCACAACCACCACAAAAUUGGAACGGUCCUGUGAUCAAAAUAAGAAGGUUCUCCUUAAUUUGCAUGCGCUUAUCUGUUCAUCACUCCAGAAGAGAAGACCAGGAAUCUUGCGUUGACACAACGAAUUUUAACCCUUGUUCUGUUUUACACAAUUCGUUAUAUAAUUCAUUGUGGCACGUGUUGUUUGUUCACAUGGAGAACAUUCGAAGCACAUCGUGUUGUUUGUUCACAUGGAGAACAUUCUAAGCACAUGAACAAGAUUGGUAAACUUCAUAUGACCAAAGUUUUCCAUCACUUUCUGUUUUCAUUCAAUUUUUCACUUUGUACAUAUGGGAGUCCACUAUACCAUUUGUACAUGAACUCUUGACUUUUGUUUCCCUAUACCUACUUCAUCAUCGUAAUCACAAUAUCUUGAUACUUUGUUAAUACUUUAACAGAGUUGAAAAAAUCGACGCAAUCUUGGAUCAGCUAUCCAACUGUUGCAGAAAUUACUUUUUUAUAGGUCAGUCAGUAUUUCUUGAAGUUGAAGAAAAACAAUCAACUGUUUCCUUCAGUGACAUCUAGCCAAUGUUUGGUGAAACAUCUUCAGAAAGAUCGCGUUACAAUUAGUACGUUAUCAAUGUAUGCUAAUCUGCAGGGGCGGAGCUAGAGCGAGAUGGAGGGAGGUGCCACUUGUUUAACUUACUCUGCUUUAUAUCAAGUUUAAGCUAAUGCGGGUGUCUAAAUUUGUAUCGAGGGGGGUACACACAUGGUGAAAAUAGGUCAAGUAUAGCUACAAAAUUUUCUUGACCGGGUUCCUGGGCACCCCCCUCAAACACUCUAGCUCUGCCCCUGCUAAUCUGAGAAGACAGUCAGCAUUACCUAGAGGGCAAGAACAGGCAGUUUGUUAAAGGAUUGACCAGGCAUUUUAUCUCCUUAAGUUCCUUGUGUGAAAGAACAAUAUACGUAUCGCAGAACAGACUACCACGUGUCUCCAACCACCCCAAAUUGUGACUGUUUAAAAAUUUUAAUUAGUGACUAAUAAUAGGCAGUCUCAAAAUCCAAAAUACCUGUAUGCAUCAGAUUUAAGAGUGCACUGGAAAUUUGGAAUAGCUACCUUUCCUAAGGUCCAGAACUUCACUGCAGGGUUGAAUUCCACGAGACAUUAUGACUUUUGCGAACCUAAAAACUUUCUCCAUCCUCAUUUGGCUUGACAGCGAGAGGGUUCUCCUAAUUUUACACGUGCUGGUUAAUUUUUAUUUCGAGAUUUCCUUCAAAAAAAAUUAUUUCGAGAUGAAAUCAGAGCUUCUUGUGUCUUUUGCCCUUGGAUUUCCACGCUUCAUCGAGCAGUAGGUGCUCUGGCAGGUAAAUCCAUAUAUAUGCAUGACUUCUGAAGUUCAGAGUUUUGGGGCAUUUUUUGUGCGAACACAGUUCAGAGUUGGGACUAAGUUUGAGAUGAGACUAGUAUAUUCAGUUAAAUUAAUACAGUUUUAUCUACCAUAACGGGACUGUCAAACCUUGCAAAUACGUCGUGUCACAUUUUCUUCAGCAUUUCUACCAUCUAUCUCCAGUUAAUGCCUUCGUUAACUGUUACCCUGGCAGAACAAUUCUAAUUCCACUCCACGCAUGAAACUGCAUCCAAUUCUCGGAAGAACGCAAAAAAAAAAAAAACGAUCGUAAAACUCGGCCGAAAUGGCAAAACUCAUUGGUGCAGUACAGGUAUAUCCAAAUACAGAUAAAGGGAGAAAAAAAAAGGAUAGGGCUUCGAACGGGAUCACAUCCCUGUCGUAAUGAUCACAAUCGACGAGUAAAGUUUGACCCCAAAAUUUCCUGCCAAUCCAUCCACGGCCCAUCUACGCAUCUUCAUCUCCCUCUCUUCACUGCCACCUACCCACACGGACAGCGACAUGGCCAAGCCCAAGCCGCGGGUUCUGAACUCCGGCAUGAUAUCGCCAUUCUCCAAUCUCCACCCACCCAGUUCAGUCCACUUCCCUAUGCCAACUGCCAAAGUAGUAAACCACCCACGUUUCUGCCCAGAGGAGAGGAGUACAACAUAAAUCCGACAUGGCGACAUGGGUGGGUAGGGCCAGUGGCGACCGGAGACCGCGCGCGCACGAGCUUUUGCACUGCACACGCCGAGAGCCGAGCGCGACGGCGACGACGACGAUUCUUCGGAAGAUCCGACACAAUCCUCGCGCCCCUCCGCCUACCGCUCUACGCAUGGAAACUUCCGUCUGUUUUGUUGUGCAUGGCUACAUGCAGUGCGGGUGUUGGUUGAAGAAGUGUUGGCCUUGGGUGUGAAUGUGAUUAAGAAUUUUUUUUAGGUGAUAUGGCCGCGGGAUCUUGUACGGGGUAAACCAACCGCGGGGGGCCGCUGCUUUGAAGCGUUCGUACGCGCGCCCAGUACGCAUGCCCGUGACAAAGUACGACUAGUAAUUAAUCUUGCGCGCGCGACGGCGACGCUUAACUAAUCCCGCACUUCACCUGUACAGCAACACCACCUUGUCGCGCGCGCGCUAUAUAUAUAUAUAUAUAAGCUGUUGUCGCAGCUUCUUCCAUCAUUAGCAGGAGAGCCGAGCGAGAGCGUGCGAGCAGAGCAAAGCCUGGGAAGGGAAGCACAGAAGAAGAGGGGCUAGCCUGCUCAACUUAAAGCUCUCAUUUGCUGACAAGACACUGACCUCUUCGGCGAAUUUCGUAUAUCGUCAUGGACGCCGGAGACGCCAUGGAGAGCGGACAGCGCGCGGCGCUCCUGCCCGAGGUAAUGGCCGCCGUCUCUCGAAUCUCGAUCUCUCUUCCCAUCUCUCUUCAGGCCACAGUGCAACCAUCGACCUUGCAACACGUCUCAGCAUUGGUGCAGUUUGUCAGUUUAGUUUUUCAACAGUGCGUUCACUUCAUUUCCUCCUCGCGUACCGGGUGCCCAAAAUGGCAGUGCAGCGCGUCAGGACUCGCGUCAGGAGACGAGGGAAAAAAAAUUGAGAUCAGAAGUAUGCGCCGGUACAUCUAUCUUUGAAGAAAACACAAUCUUGGCUGAGCAAUGACGACAGCAAGAAUGCAGAUUUUUUUUAUGGAAGGGAGCAGGUGGCUUAGCUCGCAGCAACAAUAUUUGACCAAAGAUAAGAGGAUACUAUGUUUCUCAAAAGACAAUAAAAUACACAGAUAAUCAUAAUACACACAGAUAAUCAUAAUACACUUGAUAGAUACAUCAAACAUGUUGUCACUAUCAGACACGCGGUGCCCAGAGAAGGUUCCAAGAACCGGCUAAAAUUAUGAAACGCAAGCACACACACCACAACUACUGUUUCGUCUACCCUUCACCAAAUCCCUACGAGGAGUUUAGGGGCUGUUUGGUUUCUAGGGACUUAUUUUAAGUCCCUGUUACAUCGGAUGUUUGGACACUAAUUUAAAGUAUUAAAUAUACAUUAAUUACAAAACCCAUUCCAUAAAUUUGGACUAAUUCGCGAGACGAAUCUUUUGAGUCUAAUUACGCCAUGACUUUGACAAUGUGAUGCUACAGUAAACUUUUGAUAAUUAUGGAUUAACUAGGCUUUAAAAAAUCGUCUCGCGGAUUAGCUCUCAUUUAUAAAAUUAGUUUUUUUAUUAGUCUAUGUUUAAUACUCUAAAUUAGCGUCCAAACAUUCGAUGUGACAUGGGCUAAAAAGUUUUAGCCCCAUCUAAACACCCCCUUAGGACCCUUUCUCUUUCUUCCUCACCCGACAAUCACAAGCACUGAUGUUUGCAUUACGUCAUACCAUCCACUACUUUUCAAACACACAAAUUAAUAUGUGUCGAUUCGUUUUUUUCCCCUUUUCUUUUCUGAUACGAAGAUGUGCGUGCAAAUUCAGAUAUUCUCUCCUUGCUUCUGAAUUCUGAUAAUAUUUUGUGCUAUUUUGUCUCAAAUUGCAGAGUCACGGACCAAAGACUGAAGAUGAUAGCCUGCAAGUGCCACUCCUCAAGGAUAAGAAACGCGGCGGCAGCAAGGCACCUGCAAUAGUUCUAGGUAAGCAUUGGCGCAUAGUAAAAUCUCGUUUAUUUGCAGCAGCUGCAAUGCAAUAUGCAUGGAACAAUGUGUCAGUUUGAGCUAGUGCUCACUGGAUCGAGGCCGGUGCAAAUGGUGCAGGGUUCGAAUGCCUGGAGAGCACGGCGUUCAAUGGCAUCUCGACGAACCUGGUGGUGUACCUGGAGACCGUCCUCCAUGGCAGCAACCUGGCCAGCGCGUCCAACGUCACGACGUGGUACGGCACGAGCUACCUCACCCCGAUCUUCGGCGCCAUCGUCGCCGACACGUUCCUCGGCAACUACAACACCAUCCUCAUCUCCCUCGCCGUCUACCUCCUCGGGAUGAUGCUGGUCACGUUCUCGGCGUUCCUGCCGGCCACGGCGGCGCUGUGCGCGGCGGGCGCGACGUGCGGCACCGGCGCGGCCGCGGCGCAGACCGUCGCGUUCGUCGGGCUGUACCUCGUGGCUGUCGGGAGCGGCGGGGUGCGGUCGUCGCUGCUGCCGUUCGGCGCCGAGCAGUUCGACGACGACAGCGCGGCGGAUAGGGAGCGCAAGGCGGCCUUCUUCAGCUGGUUCUACCUCUGCGUCGACUUCGGCCUGAUCGUCUCCGGCGUGCUCCUCGUCUGGAUCCAGCAGAACGUCAGCUGGGGCCUCGGCUUCGGCAUCGCCACCGCGUGCAUCGCGGUCGCGUUCGCCGCGUUCGUGCUCGCCACGCCCAUGUACAAGCGCCGGUUGCCGACGGGCACGCCGCUCAAGAGCCUCGCCCAGGUCGUCGUCGCCGCCUUCAGGAAGGUCGGCAUGAAGCUCCCCGCCGACGCCGAGCUCCUGUACGAGGUCAGCGACAAGGUCGACUCCCAGCCCAAGAUCGCGCACACCAGCGAGUUCACGUUUCUUGACAAGGCGGCCGUCGUCUCGGAGUCGGACCUGGAGGAGAGGCCGGAGGCGGCGAGCUCGUGGAAGCUCUGCACCGUGACGCAGGUGGAGGAGCUCAAGAUCCUUCUGCGUCUGCUCCCCAUCUGGGCGACCAGCAUCAUCGUGUCCGCGGCAUACUCGCAGAUGAGCACCACCUUCAUCCAGCAAGGCAGCGCCAUGGACAUGCACAUCUUCUCGGUGCCGGUGCCGGCGGCGUCGUUAAGCUCCUUCCAGGUUCUCUGCGUCCUGACAUGGGUGAUCCUCUACAGCAAGGUGAUCGUGCCGGCGCUGAGGGGCUUCUCCUCCUCCGGAGCCGCCGGCGAGCCGUCGCAGCUGCAGCGCAUGGGCGCCGGGCGCCUCCUCAUGGCGCUCGCCAUGGCGGUGGCCGCGCUCGUGGAGACGAAGCGGCUCAACGCCGCGGCGAGCGGCGAGGCGAUCAACAUCGCGUGGCAGAUGCCGCAGUACUUCUUCCUCGCCGGCGCGGAGGUGUUCUGCUACAUCGCGCAGCUGGAGUUCUUCUUCGGCGAGGCGCCGGACACCAUGAAGAGCACGUGCACGUCGCUGGCGCUGCUCACCAUCGCGCUCGGGAGCUACCUGAGCUCGCUCAUCUACGCCGUCGUGGAGGCGUUCACGGCGACGGCGGGCGGCCACGGGUGGAUCUCCGACGACCUCAACCAGGGCCACCUCGACUACUUCUUCUGGAUGCUGGCGGCCAUGUGCACGCUCAACUUCGUCGUGUACAGCGGGUUCGCCAAGAACUACAAGCUCAAGACCGUGCUCUCGUGAGACGUCAUUGUUAGCUUUGCAGCUGCUUGUCGAACACAAGAAAGAUUCGAUUACAUUUUUGCACAAUUGCCAAGUUGCGAUUGGUGAAAGGUAGUAGUACAGUACAGAUUAUUACAGAGUACAGACACAAUUGCCAAUUGGCGAUUGGUGAAAGGUAGUACAGGAAGAAAAUUAGUGCAGAAUUAUUUUCCCCUUUCUCUCUCUCUCUCUCUCUUUUAAAAAAAAGUGCUGCACAGAUCCUAUGGCAUGUCAGCAACACUUUUUUUAGAUGAUCAUUUUUUGUUGAAAGAUUACAGGAUAUGAUUGCCAAUGUACCUUUUUCAUAUGCAAUUCGAUCUAAGGAAAGAAGUACUUCAUUCAAAAAUGAAGUGUUAGAGAAUCGUUUUUGUCAAAAUACAACUUGUGUGACAUUUGAACAGGGGGAAACAAUGGAAGAAUUUUUGUGUGACAUUUGAAAAGGAAAAAGUACACCGAAGGUCCCUCAAUUUGUCAUCGAGUUACAAAAUCAUCCUUCAACCGCAAAACCAGAUAUUCGACAUCCCUUAACUAAUCAAAACCGGUCAUAAUAGGUCCUUCGGUGGUUUUGACACCGGUUUUAUCUUACGUGGCUCACGAGUCAGCGUGGAACCUACGUAGACCCCACAUGUCAGGAUGCCAUGCCAUCAUCAUCUCUUUACCCUCUUCUCUCCCUUCCUCCUCUCUCUCUUUCUCAAUCCACGUCAAGGUGGACCGCGUCCGUGUCGCCGCGCCAGGAGCCGCUUGUGCUCGUCAUCUCGGCGCACGCAGCAAGCGGUCUAGGUGUCGACGCAUUGCCGAGUCCAACCCGCACACGCCGCCGAUGAAGAAGAAGAAGAAGGCCAAGAAGCCGGCCGCCUCUGACGCCGAGGCCGACGCGGACGCGGACGCCGACUACGAGGAAGGCUCACGACUCUGGUGCUGCUGCCGCCGCCGCCAUUUCUAUCCCUUUCCCCUCCCCUCCACGACUCCGCUGCCGCCGCCGCCGACGAAACCUACACAGAGCCACACGGCGGCGCGCUCGAAGCAAUCAAACCAACAAGCAGCCGUCCCCGCCGAAUCGAAUAGGGGGAAGAGAGAAGUUGAGGGGAAGCAGCAGCGCGCCGAUCUCCAUCGCCACCGGCGAAGCAGCAGCGCCGGCGGCGUCCUGCUGCUGCUUCCGCCGCGUGCUCUGAGCCUCCUCUGACUCCCCUUAGCCCCUCGAUUCCCGUCUCCUCGCGAGCUCGUUUGCCCGCCGCCUGCGCCGAUCUCCAUCCAUCCCGCGAGCAGCUGUGUCACCGUCAUCAUGGUGAGCACCCCGUAUAGACGCUCGUGCGAAGCCAUCCCUCACCGCCGCGCUCGUCGCCGACUCCAUCCCCACCACUGCCUUCGCUGCCGGAGCGACCAUCGCGCAGGUGAGAAGGAGCUCGCUGCCGCCGCAUCGCCACGCCACCCCGCCGCACGAGGGGGGCGCGGAGGCCGGCGAGCUCGCGCCGCCCCCUGGGGAACCACGGCGGCAGCCCGGCGGAGCUCCACAGCGCGGGCAUGCACCGGCCGUGCGCAGGCGUCGAAGGGGAGCGCGGUGGUGGCAGGCAAACGCGGCGGAGGCCAAGCUCCUAGCCCUCAACCGAGUGCGGUGGUGGGAGGCGAGCGCGGCGGCGGCUGCUGCUGGCGCCUCGUCGCCGCCCAACUCCGACGGCUCCCGCCCCCUGCUCCGCUUCGCGUGGAGAACCGCGAGCGCCGACUUGCUCCGCUUCGGCCACCACCCGUCUCGGCCCCGUUGCCUCCCCGCUGAAGAAUACAGAAGAGAAGAAAAUAAAAGAGAAAAGAGAAGAAAUAAGAGAUGAUCGGGCAUCCUGACAUGUGGAGCCCAUGUGGGUCUCACGCUGACUCGUGUGCCACGUAGGACAAAAUCAGGCUCAAAACUACCGAAGUAUCUAUUGUGAUCGGUUUUGAUUAGUUAAGGGACGCCGAAUAUCUGAUUUUGUGGUUGGAGGAUGAUUUUGUAUCUCGAUGACAAGUUGAGGGACCUUCAGUGUACUUUUUCCCAUUUGAAAAAGGACUGUGUUAAUUGUUACCUGGUAACUGGGCCUACUUGGGCCUCAUUGACUGUUCGAGUAAUUUACGGUCCAUGACAGGCAGGCAAAGUUAGUUGGUCCAUGGAACGCUGGGCUCGCAGCCUGCGCCGUGCACCGGCCUUAUCAAGCCCAUAAAGAGAGAGACGAAAAAAGAAUAAACCGUGUGCCCGUACGCUCUCUGUGCUCAUGGUUUGACGGAGUCGCCAACGGAGUCGCCGGCCCGCAGCCGCAGGUGGCCGAGAGACCAGCUAGGUAGGAGAGCCCGCGUGCUGCCUACGCGAUGCCAUCUCACCGAUCCCCACCGCUCGCAUCCAAACGGACGGCCCAGAUGCUACGCAUAUCCUCUCGAACUUUCUGGGCUGCUGGCUUGCCUCAAGUCCCUCAACAAACGAACGCUGCUUUUCGACGAAGAAAAGGAGGGUUCCUCGCUCUGACGCCUUGCGCAGUUGUACCGUACAUUCGUACUACCACACAGCUUGAAGAAGAAGAGGGAAUUCGACGAGAAAUAGUAGAAGCUUGGCGUUCGUGCGAGGAAUUCUCGGUGGUUGAUCGAUCCGUGUUUCGCGGCGGAUGGGGCAGGCGUUCCGCAAGCUGUUCGAUGCCUUCUUCGGCACCAGCGAGAUGAGGGUAUGGGUGAUUUUUCUUUUUUUUGUUUGUCAAAAGUAAGAAGAAUAUUCUCUUUUUUUUUGGGUGUGUUCUUCGAGAACUUCUUGAUUGAUUUUUGCUCUGUGACGCUUGCUCUUUAGGUCGUGAUGCUUGGGCUGGAUGCCGCGGGCAAAACCACCAUCCUGUACAAGCUGCACAUCGGGGAGGUCCUUUCGACUGUUCCUACGAUUGGUAUGUUGCUGAUUACUUUGUCGCAAUAUUUUUUUUUUCGCUCAUGUCCUCUGUGCGAAAUUCGAAGUUAAAUCAAGGCUUUACGGUUAAACUAGUCAAGAAGUUAACUCCGUCGGCAGCAGAGGGGCAAAAAGAAUUAUGAACUCCACAUGGAUUAGCAAGAUGGGGGAAGAAUCUGAUAUUUCUGAUUAGCAAGCAUCGAUUUGCCCUUAAGAUAGCAAUUAUCCUAUGAGAGACAACCAGUUAGUUUGCUCAUCAGACUGGCCUUAACGCUUAACAGAUAUUAUCAUCAUGGCUUUUAUGGGGUUAUUUGAAAAAUCUGACAUCUCACUUUGCUGGGACACUGAUUGAUGCUUCUGCCUUUGUGCUGUACCACCAGGGUUCAAUGUUGAGAAAGUACAGUACAAGAACGUGAUGUUUACAGUAUGGGAUGUCGGUGGCCAAGAGAAGUUGAGGCCUCUGUGGAGGCAUUACUUCAAUAAUACGGAUGGUUUGGUAUGUUUUGUUUCCUUUGUGGUUAUCUUUUUGGGAAUACGUGAAAGAUUUGUGCAUCGUUGCAUUAAAGAAGGAAAGAAGUGGUUAUUUGAUUUUGACAGACUUGUGUAAUGAUAUAGUAUUAUAUAGCCAUUCUGCAUAGGUUAUUGUGGUUGACUUUGAGACAAAUAUUUCUUAGUUUGACUUAUUGGUUAAAGUUGUAUGGCAUGUAUGCAAUUGUUUUAUCCAAAGUAUCCAUAAGGCUGGUGAGGUUGCUAGAUGAUCCUUUGAACAUUUUUAAUUAAAAAAUUAAAUGCAUACCAAUAUUGAUACCGCAAAUAUGUGUGUUUAAAAUCUAUGGUAAUUCGAUUUGAAUUUAUGUGGAGUUAUAGAACUCAUUUAUUUAAACAAUUAUGAUAGUGAGAUAACCCAAAUGAGUGGUAUAGAAUUUCCCAGUUCUCUUUUAAUUAACAUGAAAACUUACGGAUCUAGAAGUACCCUGUGCUUGGCAUACUAUCUAUUUUCAUGUAAUGGUAUUGUAAUAUAAUAUAAUCAUGCUUAAUUAUCCAGUUAAUGGAUAAUGUUGUCGAGUUUGUCAGAUCUUUCACUGUAUGAGAUUAUAGCAAUGUUUCUACUAAUUCAACACUUAAUGAAUUGCUCUUUUGUUGAUACUGUAAAUGAUAUCUUUGCUUGAUUUGAUUUGGUUUGAUUUAUUACAGCUGAACAGAGCCAUCUUUCCAGAUAUAAGCUCAUUCUGGAUUAUUUUGUGCUAUAUUACCUAAUGAAGUUACUAAUUAGCUAAUGUUAUGUCUAUAAUGUAAACCAUACUACUCUUCAGUUACUAAUUAGAUGAUGCUCGUCAGUAAAACUUUAUUCUAUUUUCUUGUUGAUUUGUUUUCCUUGAGAGAUCGGCGUGAUACUGAAAUUCGGAUGUAUUCAUGAGCAUACCCAACUACAUUUAUAAAUUGUAAUAGCAACUUAUUCCUAUAUGUUAUUUUUGCACGUUCUGAUUUGCAGAUCUAUGUAGUUGAUUCAUUGGAUAGAGAGAGAAUCGGAAAAGCGAAAGCGGAGUUUCAGGUUUAAUAAGCUAUUUUAAGUUAUGCUCAUCAGAUAGCUUGCCUUGUUAGUGAAGCUAAGGUUUGGUGGCUUUGUUGCAGGCAAUCGUUAAUGAUCCUUUGAUGCUUAACAGUGUAAUAUUGGUAUUUGCCAAUAAACAAGAUAUGGUAAGUCAACAGCACUUGAGAACUCCUUUUGUGUUUUAACAUGAACGUGCUCUUUUUUUUUUUUUUUUUGCGGGGCAACACGUGCUUGAAUGCACAUGUGUUUGAAACCUGUGAACAUGUUCCGUAUUGCCAUCCAUAAAUGUAUUUCCCAGCAUUCAUUCAUAUAACAAAGAGGAUUGUUUUACUUCUCUAGACUGUUGUGAACGUUGUAUGAAGGUAAACAGGUAGUGUUACUCGUGAGCUGUUUGCAUCAUGUGAUCUUUUACAUUCGUGGAAAGAUAUGAUGUCCCACAAUUUUUCAUCUAUAAUAGUGUUGUAAAGUUGCACCUUAUUUGGUUUUGUGUUGGGUUGCUAUUGAUUCCAGUAAUUUAGUUCAAUACACGAAUGGAUGAGAUUGUGCUUCUGUGGCAUGUCUGAAUCUGAUGUGACUGCACCAGUAAUGCUAGUUGCCAUCAAACAUACCAUAAUAGGAUGCAGGUUGCCAUAUUUUUUAAGGAUGAUAUCUGAACAAAUAGAUGAUGACAGAAUCUGAAUAUGCGGUGAAGCCUUUGAAACUUUUUCAUAGGAUGGCAUGUUUGCCCUCUAGUAUUUACUACUACUAGUAAUUAGAACGAUCUAUGCCGAAUUGCUGAUCCUGUCUAAUGCAGCAUUCCUUUGUUUUGUCAGAAAGGGGCAAUGACGCCGUUGGAGGUGUGCGAAGGCCUUGGCCUCUAUGAUUUAAAGAAUCGCAUCUGGCAUAUCCAAGGCUCUUGUGCCCUCAAAGGUGAUGGUCUUUAUGAGGGCUUGGACUGGUUGGCAAGUACUCUGAAGGGACUGGAAGCCUCAGGUCGCCUCCCCUCAGGAGGGACCUCAUUGUUCUAAGUAGCAGGUCUGCCUGUAAGAUUCUUCCGUUGACACUAACAAUCUUUGCAUCAAAGAUGAUCAUGGGAACAAAUUAUCUUGGUGUGGAAGGCCUUACAUGGUCACACCUUACAUUGCUCAGGCGAUAUGCUUCGCGGUGUCGAUUCUACUGAAGGCAAAAGAUGCAUGAGAGCCUGACUACUUGAAACAUUACCACUGCAGUUUUGUCAUGGGUAGUAGUGUAGUAGUACCCAUCGAGUCUUGUGAAUUUCCUUGAAUGUUACAGCUAACUAUCGGAUGCAUUUGUUCACAUGUGAUGAGUGAAACGCAUGUUGAUGUAAAAAGUUUGUGUAAAGUUAUGUUUGGCAAAUGCAAUUUGUAUCAACAAAAUCUGAUCCCAUGACACAUUUCUCUGACGGUCCUACAUCAGAACCGGAGACAAGAAAGAAGGCCUAUACUUGCGUCGAUGUUGGUUGGAGCGAGCCUGGAUUCCUGGAGCCCUCGACUGGUUGGUUGGUCGCCUGCAAUCUGUUACACCAAACAGUGCGCACGGCAAUAAUCUGAAAGCCAUUAUAUUCUGGGACUGACGUGCAGGGAUAUACAUUUUGAACUAAAUACACACUGGUUUCUGAUGAACUCAAGUACUCAACUGAUUUCACAUACUGAAUUAUAGUAAUCUUUUUGGCGAAACAGAUUGUCAAGUUUUUUGUUUAUUCGGAGCAAAUUGUUGAUGCUGACAAGCAAAUUGUUGAUGCUGACAAAUCGUGAAUGAAUAUCUAUCUGUAUGGUCUACUCCCUACGUCCAAAAAAAAAGACAAAUCCUGGUUUCCGUGUCCAACGUUUGACUGUCCGUCUUAUUUGAAAAAAUUAUAAAAAAAAUUAAAUAGACAAGUCACUUUCAAAGUAUUAAUCAUAUUUUAUCAUCUAACAACAAUAAAAAUACGAAUUAUAAAAAAAAUUUCAUAUAAGACAGAGAGUCAAAGUUGGACACGGAAACUCAGGGUUUGCCUUUUUUUUUUUUUGACAUAGGGAGUAUUGGGCAAACAAUUGAUGUUGACAAAUCCUGAAUAUAUGAAUAUAUUACUAGGUACUUCCUCCGUCCCAAAAUAUAACAACUUUUAGCUCUCAAUAUUUGUCCCAAAAUAUAACAACUUCUCCACAACAUUUUCUUCCCAACCAAUCACAACUCUCCACCAUUCACUUUUCUCACAUAUCUUCACUACUUAACCAAUCAUAAACUCUCCACGUUCACUUCUACCUACUUUCUUAAUAACCGUGUCCAACUCUAAAAAAUGCUUAUAUUCCGAGACGGAUGGAGUAUCUAUAACAUGGUCUAAGGUUAGAAACUUUAAUUAGUUUUGAAAAAAUUAGUAGCAGCAAAUUUUAAAAAAAAGUGAAAAAUCUCCUAUCAUUUCGCAGUUUGAACACGACCAGUACAAAAAGAAUCAGAACUGAUAAAAAAAAUCGAGCUAAGCGACAAUAACCGGAAAAGAAAGAUGAGAGAAGCGUGACAACCCGUGAGGCCGUGACAGAACAACACACGACGGCAGCCAGAGCCAGCCGAGGAGAAGCAAGAGGCGACGCCGCUGGCCAAGUCGGCCCGUUACCAGCCACAUCCACAGAAAAACGGGGCGAACGCCUCCUCGCGACCUCACCUCACCCCACCCCCCACCCCUCCCACCUCCCCGCGUGAGGGAUGAGAUAGAAACCGCGCCGUCGCAUGACGCCAUCGCCGGCGGCGUCCACGUCCGCCUCUGACGCCGGGAUGCUCGGCCGGCGCGUGGUGAUGCUCCCGUCGGCGGCGGCGGCGCUGGGGCUGCGCCGGGGCCGGGCGCGGAUGCGGCUGGGGUGCGUGCUCGAGCACGUGGCCCCGCGGCUCGCGGUGGCGUCGGCCGCGCUCCUGGGGGCCGGGGAGGUCAUCGCCGCGGCCGCCGCGGCGGGGAAAAGCGGCGGGGCCGGGCACGCCGCCGUGGCGUCGACGCUCGCGCAGCUUACGGUCACGGCCGUGGCGAUCGCCUCGGGGGCGUGCCUGUCGACCAAGGUCGACUUCCUCUGGCCUCGCAUCGAGCAACUGCCCGGUAGCUCCCUCCCUCUCCCUCUCCCCGUGGUCGCUUGUUUGUGCAUUUGGGUAUUUCAUUGGAGGGUUAACUGCUGAAACAAUUGUUUAUCUAAUUAUCUUCUAAAUAUGAUUAAGUGUCAUGUGAGCAUAGCUAUGUGCUUGAGUGCUUCUAUCUCAUAAAUGUUAUAGUCGAUAAGCUCUUAAUCUCCUUUUAAAGUGUAUAAAUUUGUUAUGUCUUUAUUUUUCUUAGUAGGAAGUAUUUUGUUGGAUUGUAUAAAUUGUUAUGUCUUUAUUUUUCUUAGUAGGAAGUAUUAUGUUCACAUGUAAGAUUAAUUGUGGUUAGCAAACAAGAGAAAUAUAGAAUGUAGAAGAAUAACCUGGUUUUUUUAUUACUGCUUAGUUAAUUUUUUUUCCUGGCUUUCUGGAGUAAGCCAACUAUGCUCCCAUUUAAGUAAGAUUAACAUCCAUUUCUUCCCUCCCUCAUAUUUGUUAUCUUGUAUCCACGCAGACACUCUUAUAUUUGAAGGAGUAGAGGUGACUGGAUAUCCAAUAUUUGAGGACCCAAAGGUGUUAAACAAAUGAUACAUUUUCAAUAAGCAUUUCUUCAGCUGAAUGUUUUCAUUUUCGCUCUCCAGUUUGAUUUUCUCAAUGUUAUACAGGUGCAGAAAGCAAUUGUUUUUGCAAGUACUGCCCACAUUGGGCAAUUUAGGAAAACAGGAGAUCCAUAUGUCACACACUGUAUACAUACUGGGAAAAUCUUAGCUGCCUUGGUCCCGUCAACUGGAGAAAGGGUAUUACUUUCCUUGCGUUCUGUUUAUUCUUUCUAGUUGAUUAUUGCUUUUGUUCUGGCUUCCCCAACCCACCAUUGCGUCUCAUGUAGGCAAUCAAUACAGUUGUUGCUGGUAUUCUUCAUGAUGUUAUUGAUGAUACAGCUGAGAACUUGAAGAGCAUAGAAGAGCAGUUUGGAGAUGAUGUUGCUAGUUUGGUAUCUGGUGUUUCAAAGCUAAGCUACAUAAAUCAGGUGAUGCAUAUGUUAGAAAAAACCCUGUUGAGUGCUGAGUGCGGACAUUGAUUUAGAAGGGCUAGCUGACUUGGCACUAUAGUUUUAGGAUGCAAUAUAUUAUGGUUGAGAGAUGUGCUGCUCAAGUUCAACAUGAAUACAUGAUGUUGCAACAACUUGACAGUCAUUGCAAACAGCCAAACAUAUUCUAUUAGGUUAAAGCAACGAUUUUGCAUAUUGCCACCACUUUGAUAGUUCAAAUUGCAAUUAAUUUUCUCUGUAUAUGCUGAAUCAUGCCAAUUUUCAAUCUAUUGCCUUCAGAUGUCUGAAUGCAGAUCUGUGUAUACUUCUGGGAUAAUUUAGCUCAUGAUAUCCUGUUGUCGUAUCAAUCAUUAAUGAAUUGUAGAUGCUCUCAUGGCAGUUAUACUUUCUUACACUCAACAUUGUCAUUCUGUUUAGUGUUAUUGUCUGUGCAUUGCAGCUACUGCGCAGGCAUCGACAAAAAAACACCGGUGGAAGCACUCUUACUUCAGAAGAAGUAUGUUCUCUUCUAUGCUAGCAAGGUCAUAUUGUGCUAAAGAUGUCAUGUCUUCACUCUUUUCCGAUUAUUUGCAAAUGAGUUCCAAACAUUUAUUGGCAUGUAUUUGAUAAUUUCAGAUUCCAUAGAAGGCAUAUACUAAUGUUUUCAGAAAACCAUGGAAUUGAUUAUCCUCCUGUUGUCAGUCAGGCAAACAAUCUGCGUGGCAUGUUAUUGGGGAUGGUUGACGAUCCGCGUGUGGUGCUCAUCAAGCUGGCUGAUCGCUUGCACAAUAUGCGAACCAUGUAUGUCAUUCUAGGCUUCUCAAUACUGUGUAGUUUGCUCUGCUGAUUUUAUUCUUUGCAGCCCCAGUCACUUAUAAACUAUCCUACUCUGGUUUAUGACAUUUUCAUUGACUGUGUUUUCCCUUCAAUUUGGCAACAGCCAUUUGAAUCAUCUAGGUGCAUUGACAUCAUAAGACAGUCCACCUCAAUAUGAACCAACAUGUUCUAUUAUUGGAAUGCUCCUUUAACUUCAUGGUGAUUUCAAAUAGUUGCUAUACUAUGUAUAUUUUGUAUCUUACUGAAAGCAGUAUUUCAGCUAUGCUCUUCCCAUUCGCAAAGCUGAAGCUGUUGCUCAAGAGACAUUGGCUGUCUGGUGCUCACUUGCUUCUCGAUUGGGUGUCUGGGCUUUGAAAGCUGAGCUAGAAGAUUUAUGCUUUGCUGUCCUUCAGGUUUUUAUUCUGGAAUUUAUUGUCUAUGAAAGUGUUAUUCCUUGCUCAAUACAACACUACUCAUGUAUUCUUCUUUGUCGACAGCAAGAUGAACAUUAUAAAUUGUCCUCAUACUUUGAUAUUUUUGUUGAAUAUGGCGCUUGUAUAUCUUUGUUUUUAUUGGAUUAGCGAUUACCUGAUGGCUUUAUGUCUCGUCAUUGUUAUGUUAUUAUACCUUUUUUCUGAUUCCAGGGAAACUCUGUAAUUUAUUAUGGUUAAUAAUACGACAUUUCCUAAUCUAAAAUUAUCAUGUAUGUUUUUUUUUUCAAACAUAUUGAUUUGAUUUGAGUAGUAAUUCUGCGGUGCACAAGUUGGUCUGAGUAACCAGAUCUUUUGCAUGGUUGGGUAAUUUAUGUAUUAUAUAACUUUAAUAAGGAGUUGGGUUGACAUCUCAAUGUUUUAGAAGGUUUACAUUUUCUCAUCCAAUAUAAUCUUUAGUUGUACAUUAAUUGAAUUGAUUUUUUAUGUUAGGCAUACAGAUAUAUAAUAUUGUUUUGUUCCUCUUCAUCUUGUUGGCUGUGUGUCAAUUUUGUGGCCCCAACCAUUUUAUCUUUUGGUUUUAUAAGUUUCCUUCCUGAUUCGGUCUCACUGUCAAAUGCACACAGCCCCACGUUUUCAAGAAAAUGCGAUCUGAACUUACUACAAUGUGGAAUUCAACCAACAAAACUAAAAGCACAAGAAGGUCAUCAAUAAGAAGUGGACUACCUGCCUCAACAAAGGAUGUGCAUACAACUUCCGUCCAUGAUUUUUUCAGUCUGAGUAACCAAGAAAAACCAAACAUGAAGGUGAGUAUUGUAAGAUGCACAUGUUUGGGUCUUAGUGAAUCACACAUAUUGAAUUGAUGUGAGUUGACUUACAUGGAAUUUUGCAAUGUUUUUUCAUUUAUUCUGCACUUGUGCUUCCCACAUGCGUCUGCCUCUUUCAUAAACAUACAUGAACAAAGGCAAUCAAGCCUACCUGGGAGCCAGGUGAUCACUUGUGAUAAAUAUCUUGUUAUUUUGGUUUUUUACCUGCAGGACUUAUUGCAAGCUGUAUUGCCAUUUGACCUCCUUUUGGAUCGGAAAAGACGAUCCUACUUCCUAAAUAAUCUCCAUGGCAGUUCUGAAACAUCUGUACCAAAGCCUAAGAUUGUUGAUGACGCUGCUGUUGCAUUAGCAUCUUUAGCAGCUUGUGAGGAAGAACUUGAACAAGAAUUACUUAUAUCGACAUCGUAAGUUCAGACCAAUCUUAGUACUUUUCAGAAGGAAUUUGUCUCUUGUUGUGUACAUAUGUCAAAUCUACUAGUAGCAUUGAGAUUCUCAUCCUCGAAUUAUGUGAUUUCUUCAGGUAUAUACCUGGGAUGGAAGUAACUUUGUCAAGUAGACUCAAGAGCUUGUAUAGCAUGUACUGUAAGGUAAUAAUACCACACUACCAUAUGCACAUUGGUGUAUGAUUUGUUUUUUUAAGUUCACGUGCCAUCUAUUAUGAUCAUACAAUCGAGAACUUAUGUUGGCCUAAUCAUAAGGAAUUUUCUUAUGUAACUGCAUUCCAAAUGUUGGUUUGCUUAUUUGCUUACAUGUUCUAUACCAACAGAUGAAAAGGAAACAUGUAGGCAUUAAACAAAUCUAUGAUGCUCGUGCAUUGAGGGUGAUCAUUGGAGACAAAAACGGUGCAUUGCAUGGACCUGCUGUCAAGAAUUGCUACAGCGUCCUUGAUAUAGUAAACAGGUUUGUAGCGAAUCAAGUAUUUAACAAGAAGUAUUUAUGUCAGCAAGGACCAGGCGCAUAGGCAUUCUAAGAAUUUACUACUUUUGCAAAUAAAUGCUUCAUUUUAUGUAUCAAUUAGGACCAGUUUAUAUCCGUAUUUUUACAUGAAAAACAUUCUUCUUGGCAUUUUUUCCCACUUUUUUCUAAGAUCCAUGUUUGAGUCUAGAAUUUGCUGAAUAGCACUUGUUCCAAUCAAGAACUUUUAGCUAUAUCUGAUUAUAACCUUUGCAAACUGUCUGCUUUAUCCAUAUAUGCAGGCUAUGGACUCCAAUUGAUGGGGAGUUUGAUGACUACAUUAUCAACCCUAAGGGUAGUGGUUACCAAGUAAGAAUCAUCUGGCACCAAAUAAAAUAUAACACGCAUUGAUAAUUUGAGGCAGUAUUCCCAGCAACCUAUUGCCAGUAUAAAUAUAUUAGGACGAAAUUGUCCAACACUUCCUGCAUUCCCAAGUUUGUUCUUCCUUGUUAUAGAUGCCCAAGCAAAUAUGACUAGCUGUGCACCUGUACCGUCAACUAUCUAGAUUUGAAUCUUGAUUUUCUUAUCCAUUACUAGAUGUUGCACAGACUUAUUUUGUCUCUCUUCGCUUGCUUAUCUGCUGGUUGUUUUCCUUUCUAGUCACUCCAUACGGCAGUUCAGGCAUCGGAUAACUCACCACUGGAGGUCCAAAUAAGGACCCAGGUAGAUUUUUUGUUCCCGUUCUUCCCUUUUUUUUUUUGAAUAGAUCUUUAAUACUCCCUACAUUCCAAAUUGAUUUACAUAUUUGAUAGGUACACCAAGACCAAGAAAAGCUAAUAAUUCUCUCAUACUAUAUUUACUCUAGCAACAAACUCAAUGUAUGCACCAUCCCCAAUAUUUCCUAGCCAAUAACAAAUCAAGAUAUUGCAUGUGGGUUAUAAAUACUUGUGUGCAUAGAUGCAUGCAUCAAUAUCCAUUUACUCCAAUGCACAAAUAACGAAUAGACUCUAAUAAAUGAACACAAAUAUGUAGAUCAUUUAGGAAUAACCUCAAAAAAACUAUAUGUAGAUCAAUUUGGAAUGGAGGGAGUAGUUUGACUUGAUCCUGAUGGAGAUGUUUGUUCGCAGCGAAUGCAUGAAUAUGCAGAAUAUGGACUCGCUGCUCACUGGCUGUAUAAGGAGAGCAAAGUUGACUACAGAAGUGGCACGAGUAACAAGAUAGGACAAAGUACAUCGUACCCAUCAAGUUCUUCGGAAGAUGAAAACUACAUACAAGAUGUUAUGCCCUCAAAGUACAGUUCUAUGAAAAUGGGGCAUCCAGUCCUAAGAAUUGAGGGCAGCCAGUUACUGGCAGCUGUCAUUGUCAGGUAUAGCAUGAAUCAAAAAAUGAACUUUGUUGUUUACCCAGAAAGCUUGCUAUUGCAAUUGACACCUGAUUAUGUUAGUUGAUUUGCAGUAUAGAUAAAGGGGGAAAAGAGUUGCUUGUUGCUGUCAGUUUUGGCCUUGAAGCUUCUGAAGCUGUAGCUGAACGAAGAUCUUGCUUCCAGUUGAAACGCUGGGAAACUUAUGCUAGAGUUUACAAAAAGGUCAAGCUGAUAAUUUUUUUUGGUGAUGGGCACUCCUUAUGAGAAAAUGCUUCUAUCUAAUAUUCAAGCUUAUUUCAGGUUUCAGAGAAAUGGUGGUGUGCACCAGGACAUGGUGACUGGUCAACAAACCUGGAGAAGUAUACAUUGUGCCAGGAUGGGAUAUUCCAUAAGGUUUGCAAGUGCUGAAACAUUAUUAUCUUUUGUUCAUUACCUCACUUUGUUUGUUUGCUUCCCUUUGUGUGUUUUCUUCUGGUCUUGGUUUGAGUUUCUUGUGUUUGAAUAGCAUUGAACUUUUGUAUGGGGAACUGGUUGUGCAUGUGAAUGUGUAUGAAUUGAACUGAAAGUUGGAGUGGUGUAGGAUCAAUAAGUUCUGUUCAUGGGGUUUGAUUAUGUCCUGUAUUUGAAUAAUGUGUUUUGCAGCAAGACCAAUUUGGGAGGCUUUUGCCUACUUUUAUUCAACUUAUUGAUUUGACGGAAGAGGAAGAGGAAGAAUAUUGGAUGGUUGUAUCAGCCAUAUUUGAGGGUAAAGAGGCCUCAUCUCUGACUCCCGAUUCAAGCAACACUGAACGAUCGACAUCUGAACCUCCAAGCUCUACUCCAUUGAGUGAUCCCAUCAACAAUAAGGUGGACAUAUUCUGGCUAUAUCUCAUGUUUAUUCUGUUUUGUAUAGUCCAUUAAGAAGAUGUUAUAGUUCUCUUGUUAGUUUGUUACUGCACGAUACGGAUCAGAACAUACACCCGGAUUCUCGAAAUCAGAUAGAAAGCAACAUAAUAUGCUCAAUCCUCACCGUUUAUUCAUUAUGCCCUGUAGGUUCAUUUGCUCAGGACAAUGCUUCAAUGGGAGGAGCAAGUUCGACGCGGAGCAUCACUUGUGGAGAAAAGCCUCAGUGUAGGCACAUGUACUGAACCAAUCCUUCGUGAGGUGGCCAUCAUCUGCUGGCCGUACGGGAAGAUAAUGAGGAUGAGCCUAGGCAGCACAGCCGCUGAUGCUGCUAGAAGAAUGGGCGUUGAAGGGAAGCUGCUUUGGGUUAAUGGCCAACUUGUGUUGCCCCAGACCGAGCUCAAGGAUGGGGAUAUAGUUGAAGUGAGGAUGUAGCUGAUGCGCCAUAUCUCCUCUGCCCAGGGUUAUUGAUAAAAUUGGUUUGAGGUUCAAUCAACUAUGUAGGGUACAUUACCUGAAAAUCAACGACCCUAGGGUCGUAACAGACUGAAGAUUAAGAAAACGUAGAAAACCAACAGCCCAAUACCUCAAUUGUACAGUCCAUUUGUCGAUAAGAAUCCAAGGAUGCGGGAUUUAUGUACAGGAAGUGCUAUAUCUGUACAUAAAGCUACCAACUGUAUGUAUCCUUGUUUAUGGUUAAAAUGUAAAUUUCUGUAAGUAAAGUUGUAGUAAUAUUAGUCAGUAGUUGACAGUUUUCUAGGAGCUGCAAUUGUUCUGUACAUAAUGGUGAACCGUUCUAUGGCUUGAUCACCUUGGUACUGAGCUAGUGAUUGAUGAACAUGGAGUGAGAUAUGCGCUUGGUCUGUAAAUUACAAAUCAGUAUGAAUAUUUGGACUUCCGAUGAUAAUAUUUUUGCAUAUUAAAAAACUAAAUUUUUAGCACUAUGGGAGAUGAUGUCUAAAACUGACUUUUUUUCCCCAAACACUAGCCUAGAGCCCGUGCGUUGCAACGGAAAAAAACAAAUUGAGUUUCUACCUUAUUAAAUCAAUUAAUAAACAUUUAUAUUAGUUUAACCAGUGUUAUGAUUUUUCUUAUUAAAUAAAUAGGUGAUUUUGAAAUUUGGAAAAACCAAUAGUUAAAUAGGGGAAGACUUGUCAAAAGUUGGUGUAAUAGUAUAGAUUGUGAGGUCUAAGUAAGGUGGAAAUAGAUACCACCAUUACUAAUAUUUUAAAUAGUACUUUUUUUUUCUUAAAAUAUAAGUAUUUUUAGCUAUAAAUCUGGACAACAGUAUGUCCAGGUUUAUAGUUUAAAGUUACUAUAUUUUUGGAACGGAGGUGGUAGCAGUAUUUAGUAUAGAUAAGUACUAUUGGUGGUAGUAGGGAAAAAAAAAGAAAACAAAAUGUUACCGCUAGUAGUUUUUUUUGUUGCCCGCCAAUCAAUUCUCAGUUCACAGAUGGACCAAUUUCACAACUGCUAAGAUCGAUGUGGUUCUAAUAAUUAUCCAAUUUACCAAAUCAUCAACUACUAGUACUCCAUCCGUUUUACACUAUACUCCCUCCGUCCCAUAAUAUAAGGGAUUUUGAGUUUUUUUUACGUUUGACCACUCGUUUUAUUCAAUUUUUUUUAAAUUAUUAUUUAUUUUAUUUGUGACUUACUUUAUUAUCUAUAUUACUUUAAGCACAACUUUCCGUUUUUUAUAUUUGCAAAAAAAAUUUAAAUAAGAUGAGCGGUCAAACGUUAAAAGCAAAAACCUAAAAUCCCUUAUAUUGUAGGACGGAGAGAGUAAGUCAUUUUAGCAUUUUUCACAUUCAUACUCAUGUUAUGUCUAGAUUCAUUAACAUGAGUAUAAAUGUGGAAAAUACUUAUGAAACGGAGGAAGUAAUAACAAACAUGGAAGCGAUUAUUCACGAUGUUCUAGGAGGAAAAACUUCAAAACAUGCAUCCGCUCGCCUCUCCAAAAAUUAAUCGCCUUUCCAAAUUUCCAUGGGAGAGCCGAGACCGUCGUAUUCAACUCCUUUGCUAAGCGUCUCCGGGCCCCACAUGCAGUGACACCGCGAGCGCCGCAAGUAGUAACAAAACACAAGCACAGCUAAUCCAGAUUGGCGAAUUGAACGGCUUGCAUGACACGCCCCGCGUUUCCUUCCACUCCUGCGACGCCGCCACGUCUCCCCCCUUUCACAGGCAGCGUUCAAACUUUCGAAAAUGAGAAAAAACCCUAGGCGAGCCCCGCUCCCAACGGUCACAUCUCUCGAAUCCCCUCCUAUAUAAACCCCUCCGCCGCCCACCCCACCUCCGCAUCUCAGCUCAGUACUUGAUCCACCACCCACAAAUCCGCCGCGCCCAAAUCAGGAGGAGGAGGUAAGAGGAGAGGUAGGUGCCGAGAAGAGAUGGAGGUGGAGGCGGCGACGGCGGCGGCCAUGGACUUCCACGCGCUCUCCCGCCGCGAGCUGCAGGCGCUGUGCAAGCGCAACGGCGUCCGCGCCAACAUGACCAACGCCGCCAUGGCCGAUGCCCUCCAGUCGCUCCCCACGGUAAGAAUCCCCCCUGAUUGAUUGAUUGAUUGGUUUGUUUGAUCUGUCCAUUUCGAGGGUUUGGGUGAUUUUGGUGUGGGGGUUUCUCGUGUGUAUGUUCGUUGCGCGAUUUGGCGUGGUGCUGGUGGUGAUUGAUGAGUUGUGUGUCGGUUGCGGAUUAGGUGGAUGGGGUCGACGAGAUCGGCACGGCGGCGCUCUGCCUCCCGACGCCGAGCAGGUCGACGAUGAAGUCGGCUUUGAAGGCCGCCGCGGCGAUCGGCGAGGAGCAGCAGCACGGGAGCCCGCUCCCCCGCGGCCGCCGCGUGUCGGUGAUGUCGCCGGAGGCCAUCCGGUUGGACGUCGAGGAGGGCGAGGACGAGAUGAAGCGGGAUCUCGUCAAGGAGAUCGUGAGGACCCCGGGCGUGGCGCUGCGCAGCACCAGCCGCCGCGCGAGGGCCACGCCAGCGCCGAUCCCGACCCCUGCGACCACUAGGCGGACCGCCGCUGCGCGCAAGGUGGAGGAGGCUGCGCCUACCCCAGCUACUCUGCGGAGGAGCCAGAGGACGGCUGCUCGGAAGGCCGCUGCUCCGGUGGUGGAGGAGGUCACGGCAACUAAGACAACAACUAGGAGGUCUGCGAGAUCGAAGGUGAUGGUUGAUUUGGAGCAGGAGGUGGAGGACAUGGCGGUGGCGUUGCAGGAGGUGAAGGUUCAGGAAGAGGAUCCAAAAGGUGAGGGAGACUGUUAUGCUUUUUCUGAUCAGAUUAUUUGUUUCGUUCGAUUGCUUGGAUGAGAUUUUUAUGCGAGUUUCGUCAUCAUGCAGAUGUUGCUUCCGAUGAGAAAUGUGAUGAGGAAGAGGAAGCUACGAAAAUUCUGGGAGGAAACAGUAAAGAGGUGGAAUCAGAGGAGGGUGAGGAAGGUGAGAUUAUUCAUGGAUUCUCAUUAACUUUCAAAAAAGAGUACUGAAUUCGAAUGCUACGUGUGAUUAGCUAUUUCAAUUUGGCUGAAUUUGCUGUUAUCCUUGUGCAAAUUGAUGAUGAAAAUUCGUGUCUAUGCAGUUGUUUCUUCUGCUGCACCAACUGAACUUGCAGUAAUUUCAGUUAUGAGCUGUGAUGACCCUAAGGAGGAGGAAAUAGUUGCAACUGGGGAGGAACCAGCUAAAACCCAAGAAGGUGAGAUGCUUCACUCUGUUCUUGCGUAUUCCAUAAUCUAUCCAUCUUUGCUUUAUCUGUACCAAUGAAGACUGAAUUGUGGAGUUCGAAAAACAAAGCAGCUCUGUUUUUUUUUCUUUACAUGUAGCGAUCUAUAUGAGGUUAUGACUAAGAAUUGUAGUAUUCCAAAUCCAUGCAUCUACUAGUUGAUUCAUAUGUAGAGAUUUUAGAUUCUGAAUUUGUUUCAUUGCAAAACAAAUCCAUUCGAAGUCACAAGUUUGUGAGAAUUCUGCUCCCUUGCCAGUCAUGGAGGAUUCACCAAUCCUAGGAGUCCUGUCAAAGCCAGAACCUGUGGAACCACUCAGCGAGAAGAUAGAAGAUGCCUCUGUUGGUGAUGGUCUGGGCUUUGGUAAACUGUCCGCAUUGAAGGAGAUAACUGGUGAGAUGAAUGAUAAGGAAGUUGAUGCCGAUGAGGUUCCAGAAGAGAAGCUUCCAGCUGAUGUGACCGAUGACAAGACCAGCGAGGAAGAUGACCUCAACGAAGUUGAGAAAUUAUCUGCCGUUGAGAUACCACAGGCUGAUCUAACAGGUGAUAAAACCAGUGAGGAAGAGGAUCUGAAUGAAGUGAAGGAAGGGUCGGCCUAUGAGAAUCCGCAGGCUGAUCGGAUAGACGCUGAGAGCAGUGAGGAAGAUGAUCUUGAUGGGGAUUACAGUGAAGAAUCUGAUAUUGAUGAGGAGUCCAAUGAGGAAGGUAUGCUUGAUGAGGAAUUCGCCGCUGAGGAAUAUGCCUCCAGUGAGGAGACUGAUGAUGAGAGUGACCCCUCUGAAGUGGCCACUGAUUCUGAUGAAGUGGAAGUAGAAAAGCUGCAGGUCGCAAUGGAGGAUGGAUUGACUGCCGAGGCCAAUCAGGUUGAUGAUGAAGAGGAUGAUUUCAGCGGUGACCUACCAUCGGAUUUCGACAAUGCCGACAACUUCAGUGAUGAUGAAACUGAGAGCGAUGCCACUGUUGUGAUCUCAUCUGCUUCCAAGGCCGCUGUUGUGAAGACCCUGGAUGACUCCUCCGUCACUGAAGCAUCCAGUGAGGAGGAGGUUUCUCAACAGGAGGUGGAAGCCUCAGUUAACUCCAUCGUGAAGUCCCUGGAUGAGUUUACUUUCACGGUGGAGGGCACCCAGAAGGAUGAGCUGACUGAAGAGAUGAAGAGCACAGAUGAUGCUGAGGAUGUGGGAGCAAAGGAGUUGAAGAAAGAGAAGAAGAAAAAGAAGCCGACUGUCCAGGAACUUAACGCCACGAGCAUGAGGAAGCUCAAAACCAUGCUCAAGGAAGAGCUAAUUGCCAAGGUAAUGCCAUAUUUAAGAUCUCUUUCGAUAACCAUUUCGUAAUCUCAUAUCAUUCCAUCCCCCUGACACGUUGUUUUGCUCCAAUUGAAGGCUGCCGCUGGGGAAGGGAAGAGGCUGGCGCUUGCAGAGCUGGACGACAACGCCGGUGGCGUCGACUGCUGAUCGACGAUGCGGAUGGGGGGCGUGAGGAGCUGCAAAACCCAAUGCCAUAUGAGACUGAAUAAAAUGAGGAGAGCUAUAGUUGUGAAGUGAUAACUAAGGCUUCGUCUUGCUGGCGUGAGUACCCAAGUUUUAGUUGUGAAGUGAUACUUAAGGCUUCGUCUUGCUGGCGUGAGUGCCCAAGUUUUAGUUGUGAAGUGAUACUUAAGGCUUCGUCUUGCUGGCGUGAGUGCCCAAGUUUUCGUGUGUGGGGAGAGGCGCAUCAGGUUGUGAAACCAUGGUUUCUCUGAACAACCUGCAGUUUGCGUUGGUUCUCUCUGUUUCCUUUUUUCUCGUGGUCGUUUUGUGUCUUUGUAUCCGUUCCGUGCUGAGACUCUGGCUUGGUUAAGCCCUAAAUGUAUUUUACUGCUAUUUACAAGUAAUCGAGUUCUCUGUUACUGCUCAUGAAUGAUAAAUAUGUUUCGAUUGUUAGAAUUGUUAUACGGCAGUAUAUGCCAUUCCAACUGCCACUACUUGUCUACUUACAUCUGCACCUGCAAGGAGCUGAACGUCUUGCAGUAUAUAGCCUUGUUGCCGAUGCAUCGAAUCAAACAGCACAUGAAUUGCCCUUGUUUCUCAGUUGAUCAUGUACUUGUUUCUCUGUUGAUCAUGAUUGAGAAACCUAACCAGGCAACUUUAGAAUUUCUACUAUUGAUCUCACAAAGCUUUGGCUGAAAAAUCAACUACUCCCUCCGUCCCAUAAUAUAAGGGAUUUUGAGUUUUUGCUUGCAACGUUUGACCACUCGUCUUAUUCAAACUUUUCGUUUUUUAUAUUUGCAAGAAAAAAUUAAAUAAAACGAGUGGUCAAACGUUACAAGCAAAAACUCAAAAUCCCCUGUAUUGUGGGACGGAGGGAGUAUUUAUCUGAUAUUAUAAUUAAGCACCUGGAAUCGUAAUUCAUUACUUAUCUGAAAAUUCUUCGACAUUAUAAUCUGAAAUAUCUUGCACUUUUUUGCGAUGCUAUACAUUUUUGUAAGUAAUGAAAUACUCGAUCGAACUAAGGCAAACUGUCUGGAAUUUUUGUCCUUUUAUUUUGGAGACGAAGGCCAACGUCUAAACACUUCCCAUUAUUGGCCAACUCUCAUGUUUUCGGAUGAUGGGCCAACUCGUUAGUCGGCCCAUCUCAUCUCAACUCAAUCCAAGGCCCACACGACGGCGUUACUCGACGGCCCAGAUUUACCCAUCGCAACCGAAUCAACGACCAAACCCUAACACACGACUCGCCCACCAGUAUAUAACCUCCUCGCAAGCGCAAACUCGAAACCCUACCUUCCCAAACCCCAGCCACCGCCGCCGCCGCCGCCACCACCGUUGCCGUUGCCGCCUCCACCACCCGCCCUCG
rnacentral:lncRNA from 1 species